rnacentral:lncRNA from 1 species
GUCGGCGAGGGGUUCCUGAGGAUGGAGGAGCGCAGGCUGGAGCUCUCGCUCCAGAUGGAGAAGGAGCGGAUGGAGUCGGAGAUGAAGCGCACCCAGGCGCUGCUCGACGCGCAGCAGCUCUUUGUCGAGGCGUUCCUCGGCAAGCAGCAGCCGCACCACAAGAAGCUGGUCUCCUCCGCCGCUGCUAUGGAGGAGGAUUGAGAACUAGAGCUCCGGCGCAGCCUCAGCUCAACUCCGUGUUGAUGGAUGCUUGCUGGCUUUGUUAGUUAACUCCGUGUUGAUGUGAUGUUUCUACUCUUCUUGUGUUUGGAUGGUUGAUUUAAGAAGUGAAGGGCAAAGAAUGUAGGUGUAGGAUAUGGCUGUGGGAGGAUUUAGAAAGUGUUCAUUUGUAAUCAGUGUGUUGUCUUUUGAGUUGCUGUUUAUGGUGGGGAAAAGAAAAGAGUGCAGCUUAGCUUUGCUGGGAAAAUCAUCAUCUGGUCACUGCUUGCUUCUUUGUCUUGCUGCUGCUUUACUAUUGUCAAGAUUGUCUCACAGUGAGCCAAGGUGUGAUUGUUAUGAUAGUUGUAAUCAACAUUCUAUCACUCAUGGAGAGUUUGUUAUGGAUGGCCCUUGCGUAACUAUCAACUGGGUACUUUGAAUUUCACAGUUGCUGCAGGAAUUGAACUAUCAACUAGUGCUGUGAGUUUUACAGUUGCUGCACCAAUUGAACUAUCAACCGGGCACUGUGAGUUUCACAGUUCCUGCUGGAAUUGAACUGUUUGUAGUAUGAAUUCCUAUGGAAUUCCUGGGCGCCACAGAACACUGCCAUUACACUACUGAAGACGAGGGACGGCUGAACAUCAAUGAGGGCAUGAAAGUUGCAAGCUGCGGCUGUAACUAAUGUCACUGGAUACGAUAUCUGUUCUUCUCAACCUUGAACUUUUCCAUUCCCUCCGCCCCGUAGGGUGUAUAGGGCGGGGUGCGGGUGCUCCUAGGUCGGUAAUUUGAUUGACUAACCAAAUAUAUAUUUGUGAUGAAAAACAUAUGUUUAGAAGCUUCAUCUUGUGUAUGAUUAUAAUGAUAUGCUUUUCAUGACAUACAAUUUGAUUAGUCAAAUCAACGACCGUCCUAUGCGCCGGACCUGAGGGAGGGUGUGAAUUCACGAGGGUUCAGAACAAAAGCACCAUAGCCAGAAGAUAAGCCUCAUGGAAGAAACGAACCUUUGUGCUGCCUGUAAACCUGCAACUGCACACCCUACACCUGCAGCGGCCAUAAGGACUCGACAUAUCAAAUUUGAAAUCUCGGACAGGUGCCAUGUUUUCUCGCAUGACAAAAGCGGAAAACCAAAGGCAACCACUCCAUCGGAAUGGAACAUCACCAGCUAACAAGCCAACCAAACAUGAACUAACAGGCAUAAUGUAUAUCGCCAAUGGUUGCAGAUAAUUCAGGUCCAACUGCUUAGAACUCAUCAGAGCAAGCAGAGUACACAACUUUGCCAACAAUUCUGACUCAAAAUUCGAUAAAACUUCAAAGCUAAAGUCAACGGUAUAAAACCCACCAGGCCGGCUGAUCACGGGAUAAUUCGGAACAUAGGUUCAUUCCUAAGGUAAAAGUGAUGUCAUCAUGGUCUGAUGGGAGGUAUGACAACAAGGAGACUAUGUAACUUUCAGAAGUCGCAGCCUUUCAGUGUCUUUGCCUGUAUCUUCUGUAUGUAUCAUGGAAAUUCGCUAGCAAAAAACUGAAGUCACAGCAACCCGGCAGAAUCAGUAAUAGGGAUAGAACCUGGGUGACCUCCUGAACCUGGGUGACCUCCUGCAGAGAAAAACAGAACAUCAGAAAGGUCAUCCUGGGAAUUCUGUUUGAAUUUCUCUCAUCUUGGGCCCCAUUUUGGAUUUUUGGUAACCUCAGGAAAAGAGGAGAUCCCAGGGAAUAAAAGUUCGCCUGAAUGUUUGGUGCACAACUAGUCGGAUGCAUUAGAAGAAUGGCCUCCGCAUGUCAUAUUCUUCGAAUCCUUUCAUUUACUUUAUAUUAUAUACAGUUUACGAUUGAAAUUCUGCUCUAUUCAAACAGAAGUACUGGGUUGGUUUUGAUUAGGCUUAGGCAAAAUUUCCAAUGAAAUCAGGAUAAACCAAAAUUAAGCUGAAAAGAUCAAUAUCUAGAAACAGUCGCUAAAAAAUGAUUCACCUAGAAAAAUUCACUAUAUACGGGCUGAAAUGUGUCUUUAUAUAUCCAAUUCAGAAAGAAGUUAGAACAUCUUAUAUUUGUGAACGGAGGGAGUACUAAAACAGCAGAUGAGAAUGCCAUAAACCUCAGGAAGAAAUGGGAUGGUAAAAUCAAGAAAGAAAGUAUCAUCUCAGUAGCAGUCAUAAUUUAUUAAAAGUGCUUGCCGAAAUCCAGAUUCUUGGCGUAACAAAUGGCAAUGCAAAACUUUCUGGCUCUGUGUGCUACUGCAUAUUGGAAAGUUCUUCAUGGACAUGCUAGAAGUACACUUUAGGAUAAGAAACAAAACUAGAAGAAAACCUCACAUUUCCAACAUAGAUGGAGCGAGCAUCCACCUCUGCCUUUUCGAGUGCGGUUACCGCUGCAGCUGGAUCUUCUGAAAAAAUAGACCGAAGGAGGAAAAAAGUGUAAACAGAUUGUAGAGUUUAAUGGCUAACUGAAGGCAGAGAGUCCAUUAAAAAUAAUGAAACAACGGCAUGGCAUGGCACUCAUGAUCAGAAAGAAUCAAACGCAAAAGAAAGAAGAUGCCGCCGCUUAGGAUCUUUAAUCAGCAUCUAUGUUUCUAUUUAUAACCAUACUUAUUAAGUAAGUAUGUAAAGGGUGAGGCUUGAAGCAAACACUUAAUCGUGUACACAAUAUCAUCUUUAAAUGCACCAUAUGUGUGCAUUUUAAACCAGGUCAUCUCACAUUUCUCUUUGCUGUCAGAAAAAUAUCAGAAGCAGCAGUAAGCAUGUACCAGUAGAAGAAGAAAAAAAGGUAACAACCAUAAAACCAUGCUUUCCAUAGAACAUGUUCAUCAACUUCAAACCAUCAUCAUGGUAACCUAUUCUUACAGCUUUGGUUAUGAUAUUUUCAAAUGCACCAUAUGUGUGCAUUAUUAUUUCGAAUCAGGUACGUAAGCAGACCCCUUUCCUAAUUUACAUCGUUCAUGAUUGAUUUGGGGCAUUCUUUAGUGUCAUUUGUCUAAAAAAUUACUCCGUUCAGAACUGAAUUCCAUCUGGACACAUCGGUAACAUUUCGGGAAAUGUGGAAUGCAGGAUGAGCUCAAUGACUUGAUGAUGCUCUACAAAAGUGCAAUUGUUGACGCUAGAAAAUAACAUUCUAAUAACCGUCUCCGGAUAGUAAAUGUGACGAGUUGCGAGAAGAAAGAUGGUUUACACUUUACAACAAUUGUAGUAAAUAAUGCUUAGCAACACUAAUCCACCACGUAACCAGGUGAGUCUAAGUAAUGCACCAUUAUUAUACCCCUACUCCAAAAGACAGCCAUGUACGUAGCCCGCCCACGAGGCGCUACGGUCCUGCUUUACGCGUAUAGGGGGCUGCCUAGCCCAUGAUUAGGUGCCGACAUCACCCCCGCUGCCUGGCUAUCACCUUAAACACUGUAACAAUCCUUACCAAAGCUGUUCAAAUGCAUAUUACUGGUACAACACAAAUCAACAGAGCAAUGAAAUGAACAAACACACAAUGCUGAAAAGAUGCACUCACCCAGCACCUACAAGUACUCGAAGGCAGCAACUAUUCCGACAACCAACCACACAGAGGUCGUCAGAAACGAAGAAACUAGGAGCCUGUUGACUGGAAAGUGAAGAUCAAACCGAUCACCUAGUGUCAGCGAUUCCACAUCGAGAGUAGCACAAAUCUAAUCACAUGAAUGACGCCCAAGUAACAAGGCGCUCGGGAUCUCACGUGCAUCCAACCAAUUUCACUCCGGGCAACCACCAAAGACGAAACAAAGCGCUAAUUACACGAGCAGAAACGGAGAGGGUGGUGGCGACUAGACAGAUUACCAUGCGUAGCGGCGGCGGCGACGGCUAGCAUCUCGCGCUCGGUCUCCUCCAACUCCCGCAGCCUCCUCCGCAUAUCAUCGAUCUGCUGCACAUCACCAUACCGUACCCUAUCCUCGUUAGCACCCGACGCCACGAACACCGCAGGCGCUCAAACCCUCGAAACGCGAGGCAAAGAGGCUACGCUGCAAGCUGUAACACACGCACGCACGCGAACCUGGUCCACGGAGGAGCGGUUGCGGUUGAAUCCGUCGCCGCUGCCGCCGUUCCCGCCCUCGCCAUUGCCUCCGGCGGCAGGGAGGACCUCGCCGUUCUCGAUCGGGAGUGCGCGAUUGCCCGAGGCCAUCUCGCCGCCGCCGCAAGUGCUGGUUCGCUUGGUGCUCUCCCUCUUCAGUUACUUUUGUCUUGGUGAUGACUAGCUCCUGUUGCCUCUUUUGGCGUGGCUUGGUUGGUUGGAGAGUACUUGUACACUUCAGACGGGAAAGCGAGUGGAAGAUCCCACGGUUCUGUGUCUACAGAUGUCAGAUCGGACGGUCGGUUCGACCCACCCUAAAAAAUGGAAGGGGGUUGUCGUUUCAAAAUAAAAACCCUAGAGAAAGCACGGUAGAAAAAAAACAUAGGGGAACUGUAAGAGAAAUCCCUAGAGAAAAUAUAAGAAAAUUAUAUUCUUUUCCAGCUAACUUCAUUUUUUUCUUUGAAAUGUUAACUCUAUGCUGACAUAGGGUAGCCGUUGGUUAUAGGAACAUCACAAAUUUCACAACACAAGAGAUAGUUGUCGUGGGGUAGACAACACUAAGCACAACUAAUGCAGGAGAUAUGUGUGUCAAACUGGAAGAUCAUGAGUAGAUCUACAUAUCUUAGUUUUCUCGCAUCUUUGACUUCAAGAAGUCUAGCAAGACUUUGACCAUUGUCACCAUAGUCGCUUUCUUGCGACAACUCCAACAUGGACCUCCUUCGUGAGGUGAUGGUCAUCAUCAUUGGCUAUGGAUCAAAGGCGCUUUAGUCACACAAGGUGGCUUCACGGCAUCACCCCUAUGAGUUACCCCCUCUUCUUUUCUACUUAGUCGACAAAUAUCAGUUAGUAAGGGUGGAGCUCUAAGAUGACAGCCGGAUGCAUUCUCGGUCGUCAAAUUAUAACGACGCUUCAAAUCCAUGACUUUUCUCAUGCAAGCCCAUUAUUACGCACUUGAGCGCUAGAUUUGUCGCAUCUUGAUGAUUGGUGGGACCACAACAUUCAAGCCAUAUGCAAGGAGGAGGGUAAAUCCUUGGCGUAUUUUCGAACAUUUCGGAGGGAGAAACUGACAUUUUUUGGUAUGUCUUUGUCAAUCACUAACGUGGACCAUAAAGUGACGAAGGACAUAAUCAAGAGGGCGUAAUGUUACAGACCAUCUCCAUGAAUGCCAUGAUCAUGCUCGGUUGGGCAUGCUAACUCUUGGAAACUUUAAAACUUCCAGGAAAUUGGUAAGUUUUCCAAGGUUACCGAGGUAAGUUGGUAGUCAAAUCGGUAACCCAUUUUUGGCUUUGCCUAAAUAUUGCCAUGCCAUUUUAUGGAAUCAAACCAAGCGCACCUCAUAAAUAUCAGCAAUGGGGUGUGCAAUGGCGUAUCCGGUGAGUUGAAGAUUAAGUCAUCAGGGAUGGAGGUGGACGAUCUAGAUGGAGUACCCAGAUUGAAUCUACGAGUGUGCUAACUACACUCCAAGGGUUCUUGAAGCGUUCGAAGGACACCUUCCACCUAAGGACAUGCUCUUAUAUGGGGGUCUUGGUUGGCGACCGUCGACCUCCGUCUUGAUCAUCUUGGCAUGCAAUUAUUGGACUCUUCCGUCUUUGGUAGUAUCCUUUUAAUGAAACCAGGGGUGCCACUUCUAAGGGAACCAUCUCCUCAGGCAUGCCCCCCCCCCCUUCCUAAGUGACACACAAAUACAGGAAAAUAUGACCCAAAAUAGCACGUGUGCAACAGAAGAAUGUGGUAAAACCAUUUCCCCUUAAUGGUAACCACAAGUGUAGGGGACCACAACAUUCUUCGUUCGGAAGUAUCGCAACCCAAAUUCAUAUUCGACAAAAGGGGAGUCAAAAUCCACACCUGGAAAUAAAUACUUGCUUUAGAGAAUUUAUUAGUAGAGAAUGCAAUGAAGUGAUUGUUGCUUGAUUGCAAUAGUAACAAAAAGCUGCAAUACCCAGCAAUUGCCAAGUGCAAACUAUCUUUCGAGAGAGUAUCAAUUAGAGAAAACAUAGGCAUGGGGAUUGGUAAACGGAUGUUGCAUGGAUUGAUUCAAUCAUAUAAUAACACAAACGUAGGGUAUAAUUUGCUAACUCAUAUUAUUUAACUCAUAUAGGCACGUAUUCUGUAUAUUGUUGUAUGUGUUUGCAAUGAGAACUUGCACAACAUCUUUUUGUCUUACCCUCCCGUUUCUGUGGGGUUCUCAUGGAAAUUAAGGGAAAUUAAGUUGUUCAUUUUAUAGAACAUCGGAGCAAAGCAUUAACACUUAAUGAAUACAUGUAAUCCUCACAUUAUAGCCAUUCCCAUUGAUAUCCCGAUUAUUUUCACUUCGGGGUUUCCAAUGCAAAACUAUGAAAUGUGCAUAGAACUUGCAAGUAUGACCCAAACACAUAAAUAUUCAUGAAACAAAUGCGGUUCAAAUAUGAAAAUCAUAUCACUCGGGCCCUAGCGAGAAGCAUUAUGCAUAGCAAAGUCAUAACAAUAUCAAUCUCAGAACCUAAAUGACACUAAGCAUCAAACCCUAACAAAUAUGGUAACUAUUAGAUGAUGUUCUCAUCCAAUUUCCAUCCACCUCAUGUGCCUACAUGAGAUUACUCACACAUGGACGGGAGAAACACAGUGGUGAUGAUGAAUAAGGAGUUGGUGAUGUUGGUGAUGUUGAUGAUGAAGAUCUGCUCUCUUCAAAGGUCAAAUCGGCCUCUAGAUAGCCCUCCACGAAGAAGACAAAUUAGCGGUUAUCUUCGCCCCGUAGAAAAUUAGGGAAAAUCUUUAUCGAGUUUUUAGGACGAGAUAUGAUAUAUAGGUGAAAGAGGUCAGCCGAAGGAUGCCUAUGGCCCUCACUCACCCCUUGGCAUGCCCCUAAGCUUGGGUAUGUGGGCCUUGUGGGCAACCCCUUAUGUCUCCGUAUCUCCUUUUCCUCCAACUUCCCCAAAAGUUAUUUUUUACAAUAUUUAUUUUCCUUUAUAAAAAGAUAACACCAAUACAAUUUUUUUAAAACAACGCCAGCCCGGUCAGUUCUUAUUCAAAUUGUGCAAGAUGGAGGACAAAAGAUAGAAGUGUUCAAAAAAGUAUUAAAGUAUCACGGUGGAGAGCGAAGACCGUGAUGGAAGAGAGGAAGGACAAGCAGAGGAUUGUAGUCUUGCAUCCAGGAGAAAAUACUUGCAAUGAAAGUCGAUGAGCAGAUGAUCAAUAGGAAGAUCGAGGAGCACCAAAAUCGUGCUCAUGGAUGCCGCCACGAUGGUUGAAAUGGUGAGACAAUAUGGAAUGUUCUUUAUGGUGGUGCUAGUGGUUGUGAGAAUGAGAGUGCACGAUUUGGUGAAUUUUGAUGAACUAUGUGAUACGUGGCGGCUCUUGAUGAACUAUGUUGGAAUGCAAUGCCUUUUGGAUGACUUGUGUUCAUAUUUGUAGUUGAAUUGUUGAAUGCGGUUGAUGAGCAUAUUCUUAUAGCACUUUUUAUGUAUCCUUUUUACUAAGUAUGUCCCGACUUAGGCUCAUUUGUGGAAUAUAUGAACCCUAAAGGACUAUUUAAAGCAUUUGCUUUACAUUUGCAGGAUGGGUGCGCCAAGGCACCAUAAUCCCUGCUGAUUACACAAGAGACUUAGUCAAGAUGACUAUAAGGACCAACUAGCAAGCUUGUCAGGAGAAGAAGGACCUAAGCGAAAGAUUGACUGAUCAAGUGUGGACUGCCUUGGGUAAUUAAGAUAGCAUCUAACGAUAUCAUUAAAUUCUUGGGUCCCUAGUAUGUCCAUUUUCUUAUUAUAAAUUACUCCUCAUUGUCACUAUUUUGCACAUUAUAACUCAAUUCUAAUAGUUUUUCCUCUCGGUUUCCAUGAUUUACUAGAGGAUGAGAAUUGCUGGAAAGCUGCAGAACAUGAGCAAAAUAAGGACGAGUGGAGAAAAGAAUUUUCUAGAGACCAAAUAAUUACAAGAAAGUUAUAUUAAAUACUUUCAACAUGGAAGUGAGCCAGGGGCACCUGGGCCCACUUGGGAAGACCCAUGCAGGUCCCACAUGGCCACGCCUGAACGCUUGGUGUGGGUGCGUGGGGCCCACAGGUGGCUUCCCAGUUGCCUUUGGUGCCCAAUGGCCCUACGAAAGUGUAAUCAUAAUGCCCUUAAUCAUAUUUUAACCUACAAAUUGCUUCGGCAUCCGUCCGCGGGCAUGGGGACCAGUCCACAGACACGGAUGCGGUAGGUGGCCAUCCAUUGUUGCCUGCAUACAUUUUAAGUUGGGUUUCAACUAACCGAACGAUUUUCGUGCAAACAUGGUGGAUUUUCAUCAAAGUUCGGAUAAAAAAUAGCACAAAUCAUCCAUACAUAGCAUGCAAAUAAGUCUAGUACAACAAUAGUUCAUAUUCAACGAGAUUAAGGAUCAUGUCAUCCCACACAUACUGCCCCUUCAACAUCAUCCAACUAUGCAUGUGCAUAAAUGGUCGUACCUCCAUCCGGUGGUACAUCACGGCAGCACGUGAGGGCUAGAGCAUGUGUAGAGCAACAUUGAAUGAAUGAAUCAAUCAAUCAACAAAUUAAGCAAGAAGAAGCAAAACUUACGAUCUCCUCUAUCAUGCGCAAUGGCCACUUUGCCUCCAGCAUAUCAACCGUGCCACAAAACUUGGUGAUGGAGGUCUGGAUGGCGUACCAUCGAUACGAUAACAACCUCACAUUGCGAUCAUGGAUGAUGUGCAUGUCGUAGGGUGCAAUAUUCAUGCACUUGUUGCUAGAAGGUCCCCCCUCUGUUCCUGCCUACGAAACCCACGGAUACGUCCAACCACCAUCGCACAAGAACUCAUCCUCCAUGGUUGAGUACCCCUCCAUCCUUCAUACUCUAAGAAAACGACAUGGUGUUCGAAAAUAACCUCAAUAGCAUUUGCCCGAACACCUACUGGGCGUGGUGACCGCCAUGGACGGCGUCGAUAGGGGGACGGAGUGUACCUGCCUACGGACGUGUCCUGGGUGGACGACGCCGUUGUGAAAGGCGAGUGGGCGCGUCGGUGCUCGUUGCAGAGGUCCGGCAAUGCCUGUGUGCCAAACGGAGAGGUACAACGGCGACGUCAGAGGAGGAGGAGGGUGCGGAUGUAAAAAAAGGGGGAAGAUUGGAAGAAAAUGGGACCGGGAGGGGGGAUUUAGUGGGCUGGGGGUGUUGGAGUCCUACGUGGCUGUUGUCCAGACUCCGGCAAAGCCUCCUCCCUCCCCCCAAAACUUUGUCUCCGUUUUACAUGAAAAAGUGCAUCCGAACUGCCGAGCGCACUGAUACAGGCCCACGUUAGAUGACACCACACAUCCGGACCGCACGGUCCAAACGUAUACGGGCAGUUUGAGGAUCAGCGUUGGAGAUACCCUUACUUGUUAUCUUACCUGUUUGCACCAUUGAGCUGUAGAUGUGUUUGAGCAUCAAUAAACCCGUCCCUGUGGUGAACUAUGACAACUCAUAUACUUUGCACUGAUCAGUGGUGCAUUUGAAUUGUAUAAUUAUUGUUGAAAUCUUGUGGAAAUAUUUGUGCAACAGGACAAAAGAGAUAAGCUACUAGAAAAGUUACGGGAGUCAAGUUUCAAGGGGAGGGUUGGGUGUAACAACCUUUAACUCCUCCAAAUUCGAGGAGUUGAGUUUGGAGUGUCUUUUGAGGACAUAAAUUUUAGGCCAAUGCUAGGCGUCGGUCGACCGGCCCAGAUUUCGGCUGAUCGUUGUGCGUGCGUUGGAUUGAUUGCUUCCACGCAGUCUGAUUUGGUCAAUGAUUCGUUCUUCCCCCUUCGUCCACCUCGCCCACCACCACCACACCCCCUACCAGCAAACUGCAUAUGCGCGUGCGAGGGCUCCACUGUCAUUCAUCCAGCGCGUCGGGUCGUCGUCGUCGUCCGCCUCAGUGGGUGCCGUCACACACAGUCGUCGGAAGACUCGCGUGCCGCGCGUGGUCCCUGCAUGAAGCACCGCAACCCUUCCCCUGCUCGCGCAUCUCCCGCCGCCAGUCGAAGCCCCCGACCAUCGCCUGUUGCAGCGCCACUAUGAAACGGUUGCAGCUCCACUGUUGGAUGCAACUUCGCCAGUGAGGGUUGCAACUCCCACCCACGUUGGCUGCAGCCUUUUCUGCCGCCCCGCUGGUUAAAGCUUUUUCGUCGCUCAAUGGAUGUAACCUCGCCGGCGGCUAGUUCCAGCACUGCUUGAUACUGGUUCCAGCAAAAAAGAUCUCGCCAGCAGCAAGCAAACAUUCUUGCUGGUUCGAGGCUUCCAGCAAAUUUUAUUGCCGGUCCCAGCAAAAUGAUCCUCGAUGCCAUCUGGUUCCAGCAUUGGUCCACGGUGGUUGCAGCUUUUUCGCCAGGUGGCUCCAGCAAAAGAAUAUCUACAGUUGCAGCAUCGGAGCUCGCCGUUUCCGUCGGCAGCGGUGGCUGCUGGUUGUAGCAAAGCAUCAGCCGCCGGUAGGCGCCGACACUAGCCGUUGCAGCACCGUGCUCCACCCUGUCGCAGCUCUGGUCAUCGUCGAGCAGCGACAGAUGCAGCUGAGAGAGAAAAACGAGGGGAUGGUGCUGGCUCGACGGUUGGCUUUGUGGUGCUCACCGGAGAAGACAGCGAAAGAGAGGAGGAGGAGAUCCCUCGGGCGCAACAGAGGAAGAAAAAUCGGGCGAGUGGCUGAGAACGACCGCGAGAGAAGAUAAGGCACUUACUUCUCAUAUUGCGUUUCCAAAUUUAAUCAAUAAACCUUAUGUCCAGUCUCAGCAAAUACCGAAUGAGUAAUCGAUUGUCAGGUCUCAUGUAAUCUCUCCGCCCUCACACAAACUGCAUCAAAGAAACGAUGAAAACGAAAGAAACUGAAAUUGAACCAAGCACAAUCCGUACUGCACAAAAACAGCUAUAUCCUAUUAUUUGAGGGAGAUUUUUCCUCGGCAUUUCCAAAAUCAAACGGCACCUAUACUACUACAAAAACUAAAGAAUGUAAAAUUAUGUCCUCUAGCAGCUGAAGAUAGUUCUGCAGGGAAGAAAUCUAAGAUUGAUAUCUUAAGCUUCUACUUUAUAUAUCAGGCUAGUCCAUGUCCUGUCUCUCUUCUUCCUUAGCCUCUCGGCAAUGGCAAAGGCCAGCUCAAGCGACUGCGAUGCGUUCAGCCUGGGGUCGCAGUGCGUGCGGUAGCGGGAACUGAGAUCGUCGAAGGUCACUGUGUUGGAUCCACCAAUGCACUCUGUAACGUUCUGCCCUGUCAUCUCUAGGUGAACCCCUCCGGGGUAGCUCCCCUCUUGCUCAUGGACAUCAAAGAAAGCCCGAAGCUCAGCCUGCGCAGCCAUAUAAAGAAACAGUGAAAAUUCUGAACCAUGCCAUACCAAAGUUGGCAAGUCCGAACAAUGCUAUUGGAUGUCUCAAUCGCAUGUGGUUCCAGAAAACAACAGUCCAUGUCUCAUUGUAACAAACAGCAUGAAAUACCGACCAUAAGUAGGUUGUUCUAUGUCGAAUCAUGCAAAAAGUUAUCACGCUUACCCGGAUUGCAUCGAAUGAUCUUGUCUUGAGCCCGCAAGGUGCGCUGAUGGUGUUCCCGUGCAUGGGAUCGCUGACCCAGGUGACAAUCAGCCCUGCUUGACGCACGGCUCUGAUCAUAUGGGGGAGCUUGGCACGCAUGUUCUCGGCCCCCAUCCUUGUGAUAAGUGUCAGCCUCCCGGGCUUGUUGUGAGGAUUCAAAAUCUCACAGAGUUUCACAAGCUCCGAUGAAUCAAGCUUAUCACUCACCUGUAUAACAUAGACAGAGUCAUUAGAUUUGUCAACUGAUUUUUUUCCGUCUAAGACAGUCAUAAGAUUGUGACAAAUAAGAUUUAAAAAAAAAACUACUGUUCUUCAUAGUUGUUAAAAACACGACAACUUUCAUGUCAUUAACAAUAUAUGAAAAAAGAUGAUUAUCAACAGAUAAACACUAUACAUAAACCUGGAGACCACAAAACUGAAAGAUCUAUACUUGACUUGUGAAGCAUUGAUGGUCGCCAUUUGCAAUGGAAGUUGAAGUACUUAAGAAUUAAGAUGUUUAUGAUUUUACGUGACCAACUCCAACAACGAAAUGCAAACCUUCAAGACUUCAGUAAACACACAUGUCAUAUGAAAAGAUGUCACCGAAGACCAUAUGGAGGCAAGCGAACUCUGAUGGGUGCUUUGGUUACCUUUAUGCCGACAGGAUUGGAAAUACCGCGGAGGAAUUCAACAUGAGCACCAUCCAGCUGCCUAGUUCUCUCCCCAACCCAGAGCAUGUGUGCAGAGCAGUCGUAAUAGAGGCCAGAAGUGGAGUCCUCCCUGGUCAGUGCCUGCUCAUAUGGCAAGUGAAGGCACUCAUGGGAUGUCCAGAAUUCAGCUGUGGUCAUCAUGGGAUGCUGAGGAGGCAGACCAGCAGCAAGCAUGAACCCGAUGGCAUCAUGAACCCUCUGGGCAAGCUCCCCAUACCUGCUCAGAGAAGAACAUAACGAGGUAAGAUCUACUUUUAUUGUAUAUAACAGGAUGUCAGUGAUCAUAUUUAGGCUGACUGAUAUUUCCUACAGAAUCCUAGAGGAUGAAUACCUAGCUAUUAUUACACGUGACUGAUGCUGUCCAGAUUAGUGUGCUAAAACAAGUACAUCAGUUGUUUGACAAAAUCACUUUUCUGGACUUGAAAAUUAUCCACAAACGAGGUCAAAAGUAAAAAUUAAACCAGAACCGUUGCAUAUAUGUGCAAAUACGGCAAUGACAUUGAAUGGGGCAUGAGCCGUGUGCUGGAGAAAGAUUGAUGGUAAUUUUUGAAUUCAGAUGAUAUUUGCGGUGGGGAAAAGAGUUUUGCAUAAAGGCUAACCACUUGAUGAGAUCAAGUAGAAAUUUAAUUACCUGUCUCCCUGCGUGCUGUGCCUCAGAAAGUCGAGGUUCCACUCGGUGACUCUCUGAAGAUCAGCAUAUCCUCCAUGGGCAAAUGCUCUCAAAAGAUUCAGGGUGCUCGCAGACUGACUGUAGGCUCUAAUCAACCUUUGAGGGUUUGGUGCACGCGAUUUCUCAUCGAAAUCGUCGUUGUUGAUGAUGUCCCCUUGAUAGGACGGCAGUGUCACUCCAUCUCUAGUCUCGAUUGGGUUCGAUCUUGGCUUUGCAAAUUGGCCUGCCAUCCUUCCAACCUGAAAUACAUAGUGCCACAAAUCUUUUGUAGAACAGGAGAGAUGUUUAUAUACAAAGAUGGAGUGUGGAUGGUUUUUCUGCCAAUCAUGGAAGGAGAACAUUUAGAGGCAUUUCUCUUCAGCAUAACAAGAAUCUUUAUUUGUCAAUACAAGUUCUCUUAAUCUAUAGAUAAAUGAACAUGGUUAAUCACUACAUUUCAUAGUUUUUUUUAGAACGGACUACAUUUCAUAGUUUCAUGUAAUCUAUAGCUUUAAUCAAUUAGUACUAGUUUGCUUGCAGAUGAAUCGAAUGCAAAAUAGCAAUAGAUCAUUUUACCAUCCAUUAAACCAGCAGUAUGGGCACAAUUAUUGUCGGGGACUCCCCAACAGUUAUUCCGCUCAUGAGCAGUAUACACAACACAACAAUCUAUGUUCUCGGCAAGACCUUUAAAACUGUAACGCCAUAGGAAAGAGAGUAAAAAACUCAGGAUGGUUGAGUCGAUUCAUAACAGCCUAUGACAGUUUAAGAAUCCAUAAACAUGACCACUUGUGUCAUGAUCUAGCCAGUAGUCACCUUUUCUGUGAUUCUACUGAGAUUACAAGUGUUUUCAUUAUAGACACUUGAAUAUCUGAUGAAAUUGUGGAGGCGGCAAAGUCUGAACUGCAUUGAGGCUUACAGGAACCAAAUCCCGAUCCAUGACAGGACUUGAUCAUCGCAAUUCACAAGUCAGAAGGACAUAAACCCUCGUUAAUUGGGGGCGCGAAUCCAACGGUAGGCUAUUUGCGUAGGAUCGUCAAAUUAAGGAAGGGGUAUGCCGUAUGCAUGGAUGAAAGUGGGAGUCGGACCUUGACGAUGGGCAUCUGCCCCCCGAAGGUGAGGACGACGGCCAUCUGGAGCAUGAGGCGGAAGGUAUCGCGGAUGUUGUUGGCGCCGAACUCCUUGAAGCUCUCGGCGCAGUCGCCGCCCUGCAGGAGGAACGCCCGGCCCAUGGCCGCCUCCCCGAGGCGCUCCUCCAGCGUCCGCGUCUCCCCCGCAAACACCAGCGGCGGGAAGGACGCCAGCGUGCGCUCAGCCUCCCCAAGCGCCGCUGCGUCCGGGUACUUCGGGAUCUGCCGCGCCGGCCGCGCCCUCCAGCUGUCCGGCGCCCACCCGCUCGUCACCGCCGCCGCUGCCGACGACGACGCGCGCACCGACGGGCCCGUCCCGCGGCGACGCGGCGGGUCGGAGGAGGCCGACGAGGACCUCCGGCGGGCGGAGAUGAAGGGCGACAGGUGCGAGGGCGCCAGCGGCGCUACGGGGAGAACGGGAGCCGCCAUUGAGUGUGUGACUGGACGGGGAACGGGGCUGAUCUAGAGGCGGUUAGGCAUGCCGCGAGAAGCUGUAAACGCGAAUAUAUAUGCAGUGGCGCGGCGGGGCCGAAGGCGGCAGUGCCACCCCGCUAGAUAAGACGAUCUUCUCGGUUCUCACGUCUUCCGUGUGAUUUAGGCUGUGUUUGAUAGCAAAGUACUGCAAAAAACAGAGUAUUGAAAAACUGCAGUAUUUUAACCCAUUGGUGCAAGAUACCAUGAUUUUGACAUAUCAAACUAUUUUGGAGUUUUGAUAAUACAGCGACCCGUUUGGCUAGCGCCGUAUGUAGCGAUGUAAAAUGAGUUUUAGCUAGCUCGGCGUUGCAUGCAACUGAUCGGCCAUGCACAUUUAUCAUCCGCAUGCACAAACUGAACGGCACUGCAUGGCCAUAGAUAUGGCUUGUAGCUUCCCUUGGAGGACGCUCAGCAACACGAAGUAGCCGACUUAUCACCGUCGAGUCAUGGUGGAGCUGCGUGUGGAGGUAACACGUCACUCUCUGCAAAUGGCGUUGCUGGUCGGAAGCUGCGCAAGUGCGCGUGGACUGAACGGCCUGACCUUCAUCCAUAUUAUCGUCGAGGGGAACCAGGAGCUGACCAUGAAUUGUAAACGGGUGGCCAAGAUGGUGUUCGUCAUGUCCACAACUAGCUCCAAGCCUUCUGUGCCACUGACUCCUCGUGUAUCGCCGUCACGCCGCGCCCAGGUGUUUCUCUACAGCCUCUCCACCAUGACAAUGUUCCAUGGCCUCGCGGUGCCAAGCAUCGGCAUUCGUCGUCAUGCGAGGGUCACUCCGUGGCAUGACCUCCACCGCAUAGUCUACGGCAAGGAACGUAGCCAGGAGGUAACCGGCGACCUGUGCAGAGAGGCAGGAGGAUGAGGAUAAGUGUAUUUAUUAUUGUUCUUUAAUUUGCUGUCUCUUGGUUUGUCCAUGGCCGCCGAAGUAGAAGAUCUUCAGAGACGGCAGCGCGGCGAUGGCUUGGAGCGAGGAAGAAGUUGAAGACACCUGUUUCUUUUGCGUGCUCUGUUUUUAAAAAAGAGGUAUGGGGUUCUUUUUAUUUAACAGAGAAAAUACUCUAGUUUUGGAAAUACCACAGUAUUAAUACUGCAGUUUAUUGGGUAGCCAAACACCUCACAUAAAUUAAACUGUAGUAUUUUCAAAAACUGUAGUAUUAUCAGAAUACUUUGAAAAAACUUCGCUAUCAAACGGGGCCUUAAUAACAAACAAAAAUAAAAUAAAAUUCGUUUAGUUAUUUCCAAAUUUUAUCAUUUUUUGAUUAUGUAACUUUCUCACUUUAGAGAUAAUACAAGCUAUAUCGUAACUUAACUUGUGUUAACAAGUUGCUUACUUGCAGUAAAAAAAAACAAGUUGCUUACUACCACUCCAUUCUUUGUAAAUACUUGUGUGUAUACAAAGCAUUACAAAGAUAUGUGACGAUUAAAAUUAGUUAGUAAAACAGUACUAUGUGAUAAAAGGAUGUCAUAUACUCCCUCCGUCUCAUAAUAUAAAAGCAUUUUACACCAGUGUAGUGUAAAAAAACUCUUAUAUUAUGAGACGGAUGGAGUAAUAAUAUCAUUAAAAGAACUGACUUAGUAUUCCUCAUUUGAAGUGAUUGUCUCUUUGCUAAGAAAAAAACGAACACCUAUUUUGUUUUCUAUCUCUUUCAAGCCAUCAAUCAUCACACUCCAGAAAAGCCAACAAUCCAUAGCUCCACAAUGAAAUUGAUGGCAUCAUCUCUAGUAUCGUGUUCUCGUGAAUUACGACUCCACGAGAGACAAGAAAGUAUCACAUACUCUUGUAUGUGAUCUUUCAGGCCUAAAACCUUCAUUGAACUUGUAAAAAUAUCUAGAAAACGAAUAAAAGUGUGCACAACAUGUAUAUAUUUUGUCACACUGAUUAAUAAAAAUAUUAAUUAACAAACAAAAUGAAAAAAAUCAAUGUUUUUUUUGUGGAAAAACUUCUGAUCUAUUUAUCUUCGUGGCCUACAAGUAUUUUUUCGACUUUAAUGACGCGAUGAAAGUAGAGAUUCAUGCUAUGAUGCAGGGCAUGGCGCUAGCCCAGCAACAAAUAGAACUUCCAGUCAUUAUGCAAUCGGACUCGUCCACAGCCCUAACUAUCUUCAGUGAUGGGCCAAUAGUCCGGUCUCAAUAUGGGCACCACGCGUUGGAGAUUCUAACCUUACAAGAUGUUCAGGAGUUUAUUCCUCAAAAGCUUAUUGUUCUUAGAAUAGAGUGGCGGGUCGUUUAGUGAGGUAGUCUUACUCAAUGUAGCGUUGUUGUUUUGCUACACAAAGGGCAUCCAUAUACCGAGGAAUUCUCACCUCUGCACUGUAACUCUAUAACUGUGGAAUACUUUCUUUCAACCAGAAAAAAAACAAACACCAAAAAUAAUAAAAAUUACAUCCAGCUCUAUAGACCACCUAGCGACGUCAGCACUGAAGAGAGCUGGAGGCGCGCUACUGUCAUCGCCCCUCCGUCACUGGAGCGGGGUAAAACUUAUUGUGGUAGAGAGUCGGGAAGUCAUUGUGCCAAUGUCCCAUAGGACCAGCGCAGCAGAACAAUAACCGUCGCCGAUGAAGAGAAUCCUAGAUUGGAAGGAUCUAACCUGAAGACGCACGAAAUGUAGAUGAAUGAAAACCGAAUCCGAGUAGAUCCACCAAAGACCACCACCGACGCAAUCCUUUGAGAUCUUCCGAAGACACACUUCCACGCGCCCUAGGUGAGCCGUCAUGCUACUGAAGUUAGAUGUCUCCAAAGUGUUUGACCCGAUCGAUUAGGCCUUUCUACUUCAAGUGCCAGUCGGGAUGGGCUUUGGCCUACGACGGACAGUGUGGAUCUGUGGGUUGCUUUCAGCUGCCACUGCCCAUGUGCUCGUCAAUGGCGUGUCAGGUCCCACCAUCUGCAACGUGUGUGGCCUGCGACAACGGGACUCUCUUCCGCUGAUGCUCUUCAUCCUGGUUAUGGAGGCCCCGCAGCACAUGUUUAACUAUGCUAAUAGGCAGUGCAUGCUCCCACCCUUGCCAAGCAUGGACCCGCACACCGGUUAUCCUUCUUCGCGGAUGACGUGAUGUUAUUCCUCCAGUCGACUGCCACAGAUAUUGUUGUUUGUGCGGCCAUCCUCAACGACUUCGGACAAGCGGCAGGGCUGAAUGUGAAUGCGGCAAAGUGUAGCACAAUACCCAUUAGAUGCACGGAAACGGCGAUAAAUCUCAUCCACCAGGGGCUCGACUAUGUUGGAAAUAUGCCCUAAAGACAAUAAUAUUUGUAUUAUUAUAUUUCCAUAUUCACAAUUAAGGAGUUUAUAUCCUAUGCUAUAAUUGUUAUGAUCCUGGAAUAUGCAAUUCAGUGAAAACUCAUAUGCACAUAUAGGUGAUAAAUGGUAAAUGAAAAAGUUCCUAUUCUCACCUCUAAGACUAGCUCAAGUGUUGUUGGUGAUCAUGUUUUCCAGAUCUUAGGAUAUUGUUAAGUGUAAUGAUAAUCCUAAAACAACAUUGAGAUUAUGACGUUAGAAGAACGAUCAUAUUGAAUUGACCCAAUCUUGUUUCUUAUGAGUUGAGUUAAUAUCGUCUGCAUUCCGUUGUAAUAACACAGAGGGUUAAUGUGUGAUAUUUCUCAUUAGAUCAUGAGAGUAUCAUGGUCGCUUCUUACCGUAGGAUGGGCUUUGGGGUUGCUCAAACAUCACCUGUAACACGAUGAUCAUAACGACAACUUACUGGUUCAUCAGAAAGUUUGACAAGUGACCGGAUAGCUCGAGAGUGGGAUUUUCUCCUCCGAUGAUGGAGCGAUAUUAUUAGGGCCCUCUUGGUGUGAUGACAUCAAUCAUCGUCUGUCCAGACACACGUGACUUAGUCACGGGGAUGCCGGAACACAAUAACGAGAAAGAAGAACAAAAUCGUUAACGAGGAUUUUGGUAUAGUGAGCAUGGUGAUGACUCGGGAGGAUAUCGAUGCAUCUCGGAUUUUGUAAAGUACCGCGAAGGUUCACUCAAAUAUCAUUCGUUUACUCACAGGGAUCGAUACAGACAUCCACGGUCCCUUUGCCGGUCAUUGGAUGAAAGGUUUCGUCCAUGUCUGUGAGUUACCGAACCUACGAGUGUCGGUGUCAAAACCGGUAGAUCUCGGGUAGGGGGGCCCAAGCUGUGCGUCUGAGGAUCAAUGGUAACAAUGGACAAAGGGACACAGUGUUUUACCUAGGUUUGGGUCCUCUUAAAGGAGGUAACACUACUGCAGGAUGGUGCUAACGCAACACUACGAUCAGAGACCCUUCGAGAAACUGUGUGCGAUGCAAUGUUUGGUUUUUCUUUCAAAGAUUUUUUCUUUUCUUGCAAUUCCGCGAACCGUAUAUAGUUCAAUGAGAAACAAUGCUUUCUAAUAUUCACGAAUUGGAUUCGAACCAAUGUCCCCUGACUCCUCUACCGAAUAAGGAUCGUGAUUCACGAUGAUGUAUGCAUCAAACAUGGUUCAGAUUUUGGUUCCGUGUGCGAUGCAGGGCAUACAUUUCUGUUCAAUUAACUGUUUGCGACGAGGAGGAACAAAAGAAACGGGCAGCCAGAUGAAGGCGUGUGCGAUACACAGCAUAUGGUUCACUCGGAUGAACAAUUUGUGAUGAGGUGAAACAACAGAAACGGGCAGCCAGAUGAAGGUAUGUGCGAUAUACGACAUACAGUUCACUCGGAUGAAUUGUUUGCGUUGAGCCAAGAGAACAUAAAUGGUUCAACUUAACAAGAUGUGUGUGAUACGUGGCAAACAAGUCUGUAAUUAAAAAUGUGUGGGAAGACUGAUAACAACACAGACGAUUCCUAUUAACAAGCCAUGUGUGUUGUGAGCAAACGAUUGCUAGUAUACAAUCGUCAGUGAUUGAUGAAAUCAUCACCGGCGGGUUCCCUUGUUUAGUCCGUGUACGAUGUGAUUUGCUCUAUCUACAGAGUAUCAACAAAUAUACUUAAAAAGACAGCAUUGCAUAACCAAAUUAAGCAUACAACUAGACAAGUGACUACACAAAUAACAUUUUCACACACCAAAGUAAGAAAUUACAUGCAUACUAAACUAGGAGAAACGAGGAUCUAAUCAUCUACUUCUUGUUGCGAUGACGCUUGCCAUUGCUAUGCUUCCGGCUAGAUCCCUCGGCGUUUUGGGGAAGGAGGCACUUCCUCAUGUCAACGAUCAGCCUGUACAUGUCGUAGCACGUGUACACCUCCUUGGCCGCAUACACGACGUGAUCUUUGUCGAGUUUCUUCAUCCAAGCCGAGUGCCAAGCACGCUUGUCGUUGUUGCAGGAAUCCUUCAUGUCUCUGUAGUAGGGGUCGAUGAUGGCCUCGGCGAGGUGAACCAGUGAGUCCUUCUCAUGCUCCUUGCUUCCCCAGAUCUUGUAUUGGCCCUGGAUGUUGACAAGAUUCUGGCAAGAGAUGCCCGAAUUCUUGAGCACCUUGACAUCAUUGGUGAUGUCGACCGUAGCGAACAUGUAGUGGGGGCUGUUGACAAACCUGGUGAAACGCUCGCAAGGCCUUGUGGCCAGGCAGUAGUGGUAGAUGAGGACAUGGUGGCCCACACACAUCUGGGCAACGACGACCUUGGGACGAGACCUGGCAUGAGCGGCGCGUGUGCUCGAUGUCGAACCCGACCACCUUGUACUUCUCUUUGGCAAGCAAAAACUCCAUGAUGCAGAUUGAGUGCUCCACCCAGACCGGGUGGUUGGUGUACACCACCAAGAGCUCCUCGAACCUUUGGUGGGUAUCCACCAUGGCAUGGAUGGUGAACUGCUGCUCGUCGUCGGCAGCCGCUCGGAGCGCCAUUGGAGCCGCGCAGGAUACUCUCUACGAAUUUGUCGUGGUGGGUGUGCUUCUUGCAAUGGUGGAGCACGAUCAAAAGGUUGAAGAGACACAAGGGUUAAAUAGCUGCUAUAACAAAUGGGGGCCAGCCGGCCUGAUCGUCAUGUCUUGUCACGGCGUUCAUAGCGGAGAAUUCCAGUGCAUGCUUGACAACACCGCACCGCAUUGAGGAUUCCAGUGCACGCUUGACAACACUGCACCGCAGUUUGACCAUGCGUGGGCUCGAAGAGGCGCAGAAUGUAUCAUCGGUGAGCCUGUUCCCGCGCUACCGCGCAGUUUACCGUGCAAGGUUCCUGCUCGUCUUGGCUUGCCAUGCGUCGGCUAGAAGAGGGACAAAAUCGUGGGCGUUUAUUGGGAAAAAGCUUUGUAAAAGAAAAGUGUGUGGAAUGACUCCGGUCGUAAGUUUACCCGUGGGUGAUGAGGUCAAAGUUACACAGAAGGGUGAUGAUGGACACUCGAGUGCGAUAAUUAAUUCUGCGCUCUAUAGGGCACACGAUGGAAGAAACCAACUGUGUGCAAUAAUGUCCAAGAUCGCAGUCGAGUUAGCUAUACAGAUUGUGUGUUGUGUGAUCAACAAGGUAAACAGAUUCGAGAAUGGUUAAUAAAAUCAAAUCUAAGACCAUUGCAUAUUAAGUUCAAAAUAGUGCUACCAAUAUACGAGUCUCAUACGAUGCCAUUUCAACGAUUGUACCACAAAGGCUCGAAAUAUUACAAGGUUCAAAUUCUAGAGUUAUAUGGCUCAAAUUCUAAGAUUACAAGGUUCAAACUGAUAUUAGAAAUGAAAUUCAGCUCAUCAGCUGCAAACGCUCACGCUGAUCCACUGAACAUGGAUAUCAGAGAGGUUCAAACUAAUAUUACCACUUCUAAGUCUGGUUUCCAAACCUCGCAACUUUUGCAAAGGGGUCAACAACUGAGAAGUCAUGUAUGGGGUUGACAUGAUGAGUUCCGAUUACUCUGUCAUCUGAAGUUCCAAAAUGAAAUUCAGCAUUUUUGGAGCCUAUUCCAUUCUGCCGCAGGCGCCGACGCUGAUUAAAAAACCAUUCAUUUUUCCGAAAUAAAUGUAGGGCAAACCUCAUUACCUUCAGCACCCUUGCUCUGACAACAAAGAACCUGGCGAAUAUAAUCUCCGGUAAGGUCCCUCGAUAGGAGUUCAAAGUAAUUUCUGAGAGAUGCAGAUCUAGGCAUUCGACGUGAUUUUUAUAUUGUAUCACAUUAUCCACCACUGCGCCUAAUCUCAUCUGCAAAAGAAGAAAAUGUGUUAGUGCCUGGAUGCAGUUUUGAACACUACUACAGGCCUAUUUGGUUUGCAUGAUUUUUAAAAUGCACUAACAUCCAUCUUCGAUCUGACAUGAUUAACAUGGGCAUUAACAUGCCAUCUUCCAUCUUCACAAGAUGUUGGAGUGGAUGAAAAGUUGUUGGAAAUAUUCCCUAGAGGCAAUAAUAAAAUGAUUAUUAUUAUAUUUCCUUGUUCAUGAUAAUUGUCUAUUAUUCAUGCUAUAAUUGUAUUAACCGGAAACCGUGAUACAUGUGUGAAUACAUAGACCACAACAUGUCCCUAGUGAGCCUUUAGUUGACUAGCUCUUUGAUCAAUAGAUGGUCAUGGUUUCUUGACUAUGGACAUUGGAUGUCAUUGAUAACGGGAUCACAUCAUUAGGAGAAUGAUGUGAUGGACAAGACCCAAUCCUAAGCAUAGCACAAGAUCGUGUAGUUCGUUUGCUAGAGCUUUUCUAAUGUCAAGUAUCAUUUCCUUAGACCAUGAGAUUGUGUAACUCCUGGAUACCGUAGGAUUGCUUUGGGUGUACCAAACGUCACAACGUAACUGGGUGACUAUAAAGGUGCUCUACAGGUAUCUCCGAAAGGUAUGUUGGGUUGGCACGAAUCAAGACUGGGAUUUGUCACUCCGUAUGACGGUGAGGUAUCUCUGGGCCCACUCGGUAAUGCAUCAUCAUAAUGAGCUCAACGAUCAUGCAUUACGGAAUGAGUAAAGUGACUUGCCGGUAACGGGAUUGAACGAGGUAUUGGGAUACCGACGAUCGAAUCUCGGGUAAGUAACGUACCGAUUGACAAAGGGAAUUGUAUACGGGAUUACUUGAAUCCUCGACAUCGUGGUUCAUCCGAUGAGAUCAUCAUGGAACAUGUGGGAACCAACAUGGGUAUCUAGAUCCCGCUGUUGGUUAUUGGCCGAAGAGCUGUCUCGGUCAUGUCUGCGUGAUUCCCGAACCCGUAGGGUCUACACACUUAAGGUUCGAUGAUGCUAGGGUUAUUAGGAAGACUUGUAUGUGAUUACCGAAUGUUGUUCGGAGUCCCGGAUGAGAUCUCGGACGUCACGAGGAGUUCCAGAAUGGUCCGGAGGUGAAGAUUUAUAUAUGGGAAGUUGUCAUACGGUCACCAAAAAUGUUCGGGGGCAUACCGGUAUUGUAUCGGGGCCACCGAAGGGGUUCCGGGGGUCCACCGGGAGGGGCCACCUCUCCCGGAGGGCCUCAUGGGCUGUAGAGGGAAGGGAACCAGCCCUUGGAGGGCUGGGUGCCACCCCCUUGGGCCCAUGCGCCUAGGGUUGGGGGGGGGGGGAAACCCUAAAGGGGGCGCCCCCCUUGCUUGGGGGGGCAAGCCCCCUCCCCUUGGCUGCCGCCCCCCUCUAGAUCUCAUCUAGAGGGGGCCGACCCCCUUCCUCCUCCCCCUAUAAAUAGAGGGGCAAGGGGAGGGAUGCAGGACCACAUCCAAGGCGCAUUCCCUCCCCUCCCCAACACCUCUCCUCCUCCGUAAGAGCUUGGCAAAGCCCUGCCGGAGUACUGCCACUCCAUCACCACCACGUCGUCGUGCUGCUAUUGGAGCCCUCUUCCUCAACCUCUCCCUCCUCCUUGCCAGAUCAAGGCGCGGGAGACGUCACCGGGCUGCACGUGUGUUGCACGCGGAGGUGCCGUUGUGAGGUGCUAAGAUCGGAAUCCACUGCGAUCUGAAUCGCUUCGAGUACGACUCCCUCAUCCGCAUUCUUGUAACGCUUCCGUCUCGCGGUCUUCAAGGGUAUGAAGAUGCACUCCCCUAUCUCUCAUUGCUAGUUACUCCAUAGAUUGAUCUUGGUGAUGCAUAGAAAUUUUUUAUUUUCUGCAACGAUCCCCAACAGUGGCAUCAUGAGCUAGGUCUAUGCGUAGUUUCUAUGCACGAGUAGAACACAAGUUUGUUGUGGGCGUAGAUUUUGUCAAUUUACUUCCCACUACUAGUCUUAUCUUGUUUCGCCGGCAUCGUGGGAUGAAGCGGCCCGGACCGACCUUACACGUACACUUACGUGAGACAGGUUCCACCGACUGACAUGCACUAGUUGCAUAAGGUGGCUAGCGGGUGUCUAUCUCUCCCACCUUAGUCGGAUCGGAUUCGAUGAAAAGGGUCCUUAUGAAGGGUAAAUAGAAAUUGGCAUAUCACGUUGUGGUUUUGGCAUAGGUAAGAAACGUUCUUGCUAGAACCCUAUAUCAGCCACGUAAAAACAUGCAACAACAAUUAGAGGACGUCUAACUUGUUUUUGCAGCAUAUGCCUUGUGAUGUGAUAUGGCCAAAAAGGAUGUGAUGAAUGAAAUAUAUGUGAUGUAUGAGAUUGAUCAUGUUCUUGUAAUAGGAAUCACGACUUGCAUGUCGAUGAGUAUGACAACCAGCAGGAGCCAUAUGAGUUGUCUUUAUUUAUUGUAUGACCUGCAUGUCACUGAAUAACGCCAUGUAAUUACUUUACUUCUUUGCUAAACCGUUAGCCAUAGUAGUAGAAGUAAUAGUUGGCGAGACAACUUCAUGGAGACACGAUGAUGGAGAUCAUGAUGAUGCAGAUCAUGGUGUCAUGCCGGUGACGAUGAUGAUCAUGGCGCCUCGAAGAUGGAGAUCAAAGGAGCAAAAUGAUAUUGGCCAUAUCAUGUCACUAUUUGAUUGCAUGUGAUGUUUAUCAUGUUUUUGCAUCUUAUUUCCUUAGAACGACGGUAGUAAAUAAGACGAUCCCUCAUAAUAAUUUCAAGAAAGUGUUUCCCCUAACUAUGCGCCGUUGCGAAAGUUCGUUGUUUCGAAGCACCACGUGAUGAUCGGGUGUGAUAGAUUCUAACAUUCACAUACAAUGGGUGUAAGCCAGAUUUACACAUGCAAAACACUUAGGUUGACUUGACGAGCCUAGCAUGUACAGACAUGGCCUCGGAACACAAGAGACUGAAAGUUCGAACAUGAGUUGUAUAGAAGAUACGAUCAACAUGAAGAUGUUCACCGAUGAUGACUAGUCCAUCUCACGUGAUGAUCAGACACGGCCUAGUUGACUCGGAUCAUGUAUCACUUAGAUGACUAGAGGGAUGUCUAUCUAAGUGGGAGUUCAUUAAAUAAUUUGAUUAGAUGAACUUAAUUAUCAUGAACUUAGUCUAAAACUUUUGCAAAAAUGUCUUAUAUAUCAAAUGGCCCACGCUCAUGUCAACCUCAACUUCAAUGCGUUCCUAGAGAAAACCAAGCUGGAGGACGAUGGCAGCAACUAUACGGACUGGGUCCGGAACCCGAGGAUCAUCCUCAUAGCUGCCAAGAAAGCAUAUGUCCUAGAAGCACCGCUAGGUGAAGCACCCUUCCCAGCAGACCAAGAUGUUAUGAACGCUUGGCAAUCGCGUGUUGAUGAUUACUCCCUCAUUCAAUGCGGCAUGCUUUACAGCUUAGAACCAGGGAUCCAAAAGCGUUUCGAGCAGCACGGAGCAUAUGAGAUGUUCCAAGAGCUGAAAAUGGUUUUCCAAGCUCAUGCCCGGGUCGAGAGAUUUGAAGUUUCCGACAAGUUCUACAGUUGUAAGAUGGAGGAAAAUAGUUCUGUCAGCGAGCACAUACUCAAAAUGUCUGGGUUGCACAAUCGCUUGUCCCAGCUGGACAUUAACCUCCCGGAUGAGGUGGUCAUUGAUAGAAUCCUUCAUUCGCUCCCACCUAGCUACAAGAGCUUUGUGAUGAACUACAAUAUGCAGGGGAUGGUGAAAACCAUUCCUGAGGCAUUUUCAAUGCUGAAAUCAGCGGAGGUAGAAAUCAAAAAGGAACACCAAGUGUUGAUGGUCAAUAAAACCACUAGUUUCAAGAAAGGCAAGGGUAAGAAGAACUUCAAGAAGGACGGUAAGGGAGUUGACGCGCCCGGUAAGCCAGUUGCUGGGAAGAAGCCAAAGCACGUACCCAAACCUGAGACUGAGUGCUUUUAUUGCAAGGGGAACAGUCACUGGAAGCGGAACUGCCCCAAGUACUUAGCGUAUAAGAAGGCCGGCAACACCAAAGGUGUAUGUGAUAUACAUGUUAUUGAUGUGUACCUUACCAGUACUCGUACAUGUUAUUUGAUACCGGUGCGGUUGCUCAUAUUUGUAACUCAAAAUAGGAGUUGCGGAAUAAGCAGAGACUAGCGAAGGACGAGGUGACGAUGCGCGUCGGGAAUGGUUCCAAGGUCGAUGUGAUCGCCAUCGGCAUGCUACCUCUACAUUUACCUACAGGAUUAGUUUUAAACCUCAAUAAUUGUUAUUUAGUGCCUGCUUUGAGAAUGAACAUUGUAUCUCGAUCUCGUUUAAUACGAGAUGGCUACUCAUUUAAAUCCGAGAAUAAUGGUUGUUCUAUUUAUAUGAGAGAUAUGUUUUAUGGUCAUGCCCCGCUGGUCAAUGGUUUAUUCUUAAUGAAUCUCGAAUGUGAUGUUACACAUAUUCAUAGUGUGAAUACCAAAAGAUGUAAGAUUGAUAAUGAUAGUCCCACAUAUCUGUGGCACUGCCGCCCUGGUCACAUUGGUGUCAAACGCAUGAAGAAGCUCCAUGCAGAUGGACUUUUGGAGUCUCUUGAUUUCGAAUCAUUUGACACGUGUGAACCAUGCCUCAUGGGCAAAAUGACCAAGACUCCGUUCUCCGGAACAAUGGAGCGAGCAACCAACUUAUUGGAAAUUAUACAUACUGAUGUGUGCGGUCCAAUGAGCGUUGAGGCUCGCGGUGGCUAUCGUUAUGUUCUCCCCCUCUCUGAUGACUUAAGUAGAUAUGGGUAUGUCUACUUAAUGAAACACAAGUCUGAGACCUUUGAAAAGUUCAAGGAAUUUCAGAAUGAGGUAGAGAAUCAACGUGACAGAAAAAUAAAGUUCUUAUGAUCAGAUCGUGGGGGAGAAUAUUUAAGUCACGAGUUUGGUACGCAUUUAAGGAAAUGUGGAAUUGUUUCAUAACUCACGCCGCCUGGAACACCUCAGCGUAACGGUGUAUCCGAACAUUGUAAUCGCACUCUAUUGGAUAUGGUGCGGUCUAUGAUGUCUCUUACCGAUUUGCCGCUAUCUUUUUGGGAUACGCUUUAGAGACAGCUACAUCCACUUUAAAUAGGGCACCGUCUAAAUCCGUUGAGACGACACCGUAUGAAUUAUGGUUUGGAAAGAAACCUAAGCUGUCGUUUCUAAAAGUUUGGGGAUGCGAUGCUUAUGUCAAGAAACUUCAACCUGAAAAGCUCGAACCCAAGUCGGAAAAAUGCGUCUUCAUAGGAUACCCUAAGGAAACCAUUGGGUAUACCUUCUAUCUCAGAUCCGAAGGCAAGAUUUUCGUUUCCAAGAGCGGGUCCUUUAUGGAGAAAGAGUUUCUCUCAAAAGAAGUAAGUGGGAGGAAAGUGGAACUUGAUGAAGUACUACCUCUUGAACCGGUAAGUAGCGUAGCUCAGGAAGAUAUUCCUGUGGUGCCUGCACCGACUGGAGAGGAAGUUAAUGAUGAUGAUCAAGGUACUUCGGAUCAAGUUACUACUGAACUUCGUAGGUCCACAAGGACACGUUCCACACCAGAAUGGUAUGGCAACCUUGUCUUGGAAAUCAUGUUGUUGGACAACGGUGAACCUUCGAACUCUGAAGAAGCGAUGGCGGGCCCAGAUUCCAACAAAUGGCUUGAAGCCAUGCAACCCGAGAUAGGAUCCAUGUAUGAAAACAAAGUAUGGACUUUGACAGACUUGCUCGAUGAUCAGCAAGCGAUAGAAAAUAAAUGGAUCUUUAAGAAGAAGACGGACGCGGAUGGUAAUGUUACCAUCUAUAAAGCUCGACUUGUCGCUAAGGGUUAUCGACAAGUUCAAGGGGUCAACUAUGAUGAGACUUUCUCUCCCGUAGCAAAGCUGAAGUCCGUUCAAAUCAUGUUAGCAAUUGCCGCAUACUAUGAUUAUGAGAUAUGGCAAAUGGACGUCAAAACGGCAUUCCUUAACGGCUAUCUUAUGGAAGAAUUGUAUAUGAUGCAGCCGGAAGGUUUUGUCGAUCCUAAGAAUGCUAACAAGGUAUGCAAGCUCCAGCGAUCCAUUUAUGGGCUGGUGCAAGCAUCUCGGAGUUGGAACAUUCGCUUUGAUGAAAUGAUCAAAGCGUUUGGGUUUAUGCAAACUUAUGGAGAAGCCUACGUUUACAAGAAAGUGAGGGGGAGCUCUGUAGCAUUUCUCAUAUUAUAUGUGGAUGACAAACUUUUGAUGGGAAAUGAUAUAGAACUUUUGGACAACAUAAAGGCCUACUUGAAUAAGUGUUUUUCAAUGAAGGACCUUGGAGAAGUUGCUUAUAUAUUAGGCAUCAAGAUCUAUAGAGAUAGAUCGAGUCGCCUCAUAGGUCUUUCACAAAGCACAUACCUUGAUAAGAUAUUGAAGAAGUUCAAUAUGGAUCAGUCCAAUAAAGGGUUCUUGCCUGUGUUGCAAGGUGUGAAAUUGAACUCGGCUCAAUCCCCGACCACGACAGAAGAUAGAGAAAAGAUGAGUGUCAUCCCCUAUGCCUCGGCCAUAGGGUCUAUUAUGUAUGCCAUGCUGUGUACCAGACCUGAUGUAAACCUUGCCAUAAGUUUGGUAGCAAGGCACCAAAGUAAUCCCGGCAUGGAACACUGGACAACGGUCAAGAAUAUCCUGAAGUACCUGAAAAUUACUAAGGAUAUGUUUCUCGUUUAUGGAGGUGACGAAGAGCUCGUCAUAAAGGGUUACGUCGAUGCUAGCUUCAACACAGAUCCUGAUGACUCCAAGUCACAAACCAGAUACGUGUAUAUUUUGAAUGGUGGGGCAGUAAGCUGGUGCAGAAGCAAGCAAAGCGUCAUGGCGAGAUCUACAUGUGAAGUGGAGUACAUGGCAGCCUCGGAGGUAGCGCAUGAAGCAAUCUGGAUGAAGGAGUUCAUCACCGACCUAGGAGUUAUUCCCAAUGCGUCGGGGCCGAUCACUCUCUUCAGUGACAACACUGGAGCUAUUUCCCUUGCCAAGGAGCCCAGGUUUCACAAGAAGACCAGGCACAUCAAGCAUCGCUUCAACUCCAUUCGUGAAAAUGUUCAAGAUGGAGACAUAGAUAUUUGCAAAGUGCAUACAGAUCUGAAUGUCACAGAUCCGUUGACUAAACCUCUUCCACGAGCAAAACAUGAUUAACACCAGAACUCUAUGGGUGUUCGAUUCAUCACAAUGUAACUAGAUUAUUGACUCUAGUGCAAGUGGGAGACUGUUGGAAAUAUGCCCUAGAGGCAAUAAUAAAAUGAUUAUUAUUAUAUUUCCUUGUUCAUGAUAAUUGUCUAUUAUUCAUGCUAUAAUUGUAUUAACCGGAAACCGUGAUACAUGUGUGAAUACAUAGACCACAACAUGUCCCUAGUGAGCCUCUAGUUGACUAGCUCGUUGAUCAACAGAUGGUCAUGGUUUCCUGACUAUGGACAUUGGAUGUCAUUGAUUACAGGAUCACAUCAUUAGGAGAAUGAUGUGAUGGACAAGACCCAAUCCUAAGCAUGCAUAUCACAAGAUCGUGUAGUUCGUUUGCUAGAGAUUUUCUAAUGUCAAGUAUCAUUUCCUUAGACCAUGAGAUUGUGUAACUCCCAAAUACCAUAGGAGUGCUUUGGGUGUACCAAACGUCACAACGUAACUGGGUGACUAUAAAGAUGCUUCACAGGUAUCUCCAAAAGUGUCUAUUGGGUUGGCACGAAUCGAGACUAGGAUUUGUCACUCUGUAUGACGGAGAGGUAUCUCUGGGCCCACUCGGUAAUGCAUCAUCAGAAUGAGCUCAAUGUGACCAAGUGGUUGGUCAUGGGAUCAUGCAUUACAGAACGAGUAAAGUGACUUGCCGGUAACGAGAUUGAACGAGGUCUUGGGAUACCGACGACCGAAUCUCGGGCAAGUAACGUACUGAUUGACAAAGGGAAUUGUAUACGGGAUUACUUGAAUCCUUGACAUCGUGGUUCAUUCGAUGAGAUCAUCGUGGAACAUGUGGGAGACAACAUGGGUAUCCAGAUCCGCUGUUGGUUACUGCCGGAGAGCUAUCUCGGUCAUGUCUGCGUGAUUCCCGAACCCAUAGGGUCUACACACUUAAGGUUCGAUGACGCUAGGGUUAUUAGGAAGACUUGUAUGUGAUUACUAAAUGUUGUUCGGAGUCCCGUAUGAGAUCCCGGACAUCACGAGGAGUUCCGGAAUGGUCCGGAGGUGAAGAUUUAUAUAUGGGAAGUUGUCAUACGGUCACCGAAAAUGUUCGGGGGCAUACCGAUAUUGUACCGGGGCCACUGGAGGGGUUCCGAGGGUCCACCGGAAGGGGCCACCUCUCCUGGAGGGCCUCAUGGGCUGUAGAGGGAAGGGAACCAGCCCUUGGAGGGCUGGACGCAACCCCCCUUGGGCCCAUGCGCCUAGGGUUGGGGGGAGGGAACCCUAAAGGGGGCGCCCCCUUGCUUGGGGGGCAAGCCCCCUUCCUUUGGCCGCCGCCACCCCUCUAGAUGUCAUCUAGAGGGGGCCGGCCCCCUUCCUCCUUCCCCUAUAAAUAGAGGGGCGAGGGGAGGGCUGCAGGACCACAUCCAAGGCACAACCCCUCCCAUCCCCAACACCUCUCCUCCUCCGUAUGAGCUUGGCGAAGCCCUGCCGGAGUACUGCCACUCCAUCACCACCACACCGUCGUGCUGCUGUUGGAGCCCUCUUCCUCAACCUCUCGCUCCUACUUGCUGGAUCAAGGCGCGGGAGACGUCACCAGGCUGCACGUGUGUUGAACGCGGAGGUGCCGUUGUUUGGCGCUAAGACCGGAAUCCACCGUGAUCUGAAUCGCUUCAAGUACGACUCCCUCAUCCACGUUCUUGUAACGCUUCCAUCUCGCGGUCUUCAAGGGUAUGAAGAUGCACUCCCCUCUCUCUCGUUGCUAGUUACUCCAUAGAUUGAUCUUGGUGAUGCGUAGAAUUUUUUUAUUUUCUGCAACGAUCCCCAACAAAAGUUCCCUAAGAAAACUAGUACAUAUGAAUCCAAAGGAGAAAUGCAUAUAGAUUGUAACCAUAUGGAUCAAGCAUUGUCAUUGUAACCUUGGAAAAGGAGACAUGUAUGUACUAAAAUCCUCCAAAAGAAUCCUUCAGAAAUCGUAGUACAUUGUCAUUGUAAACUUGGAAAAAGGUGUCACAAAUUGAACUCCCUUAUGGUUAACAUUUAAUAGGAAAUGAACAUCACCUCGAUAUAUAGCUUCUCCAGGCACGGAAAGCAUCUAAGGAAAGCGACAACUUGCUCCGGGUUGGGGACGAUAGAUUCUAGUGCCAAGACCUUCACUGUGCGUAGUUUCACAGUCAAGCUUGUCGGAAUCAUUUUCUGAAUGACAGACGAACAAACAUCUUCAAAAUUAGAAAUAAUGUUAAUUUGUAGAAGGAGAAGUAGAAGGCGGCUGUUGUACCUGAAUGGGUGUGGAUCCAAUAACAAGUUCAGAGUAUUGGUCAGACGAGUAGCCUAGCACUAUCAAUUUUGGCACAGAAAUGACAUUGAUUCUUGUUGGACCUACUUGAUCAAGUACAAGUAAUCUCUCAAGUGCAGGUGUGCCCUCAAUGACCAUACCGUGGUACACAUCUUGUGAUGUCUUCCUGCCGAACCAGCAACACACAUAAAUAGUCCGGAGAGUCAUGGAGGUGAUGUGGAAUGUACUCAACCCAUUGAGCACCUGAAGACGAAUAUAACCCGAGUGCAGUACAGCCACGGUACACAUCUUGUGAUGUCUUCCUACCGAACCAGCAACACACAUAAAUAGUCCGGAGAGUCAUGGAGGUGAUGUGGAAUGUACUCAACCCAUUGAGCACCUGAAGACGAAUAUACCCCGAGUGCAGUACAGCCACGGAGCAGGCGCUCCAUGUCACCGUUUGAGAGGCAGACGGCGACGAGCUCGAGGUGCUUCAGUCAUGGUAGAAUAAGAGCGGGCGCAUCACUAAGGGGGGGGAGGGAAUGGCAGUUCCUGAACUUGGCGGCGUGCAGCAUGGGCGCGAGGCGGAGCGCAGACGUUGGCAGCGAGCGCAUAUGCCCAUCAUCAAAAGUGAGCUCCUCGAGCUGAUCUAGGGCGGGGGAUUUGAACCUGUUAUCAAGCUUGGCUCGGUCCCUGCCGUUGGAACGGAACUUGCUCGUUCUAAGGCCUCUGGUUGGGCCAGGGUGACUGCCGAGGAUCUUGGAGAACGCAUCCAAGCUUUUGCGAUAGCCAUGGUAGAGCUCGUGGGUGUCGAUGAGGUCGAGAGGGGUGAAGUUUCAUAGGGGGAGCCACCGCCGGGAAAGGAUGGUUGUCUGCACCCCACAUUUGAUUGGGAGGAGGGAGAUGAUGAUUGUCAACAUAUCAUCGGGGAGGCUACUGAUGAAGUCUAUGCCUGCUGGAGUCGCUUGCAGUUCUAGCUUGUCCCGCCUCCGCUUGUUGGCAGGCCCGUUGUCCACCUCCAGACUCUCCUUGUCAGCGGCGCUUUCUGAUAGAAAUGAGAGUACAGGGAAUAUUUAGUUAAAACAGGGCAAUAGAAAAGUGUAUUGGUAACUAGAAGUUAUUAGGUAGGAAUAUAGUAAGAAAAGGGAAUAACAAUUGGUUGCUUAAAUACUACACAAUUCAUUUAACGUUGCUGGGUAAGUCAACAUGCAGAUAGUUGAAAAGAUAACUUACUUUGAACAAACUCAGGAUGGAUGAUUUUGUCGGGGAAGUUAGCAUAUAUCUCAUGACCAGGCCCUUUUAUGUCGAGUCCAAUUUUAGUGUCAACUUUCAGUACAUAAAACUUAGAAAUUUCUUUCCAAAAGCCAGCGCCAAAAUAGAAGUCACCAUGUUCAUCAAGUAAUACAGUAGCAAUGAUUGUAAAUCCAUGGUUUGUGUGCAGUAUGACAUCCGUGCAACAUUGAUCUAUGUAAAGGGAAAAAUUGUGCACUACAUAAUCUGUUGCAUAGCAAGGGAUGCGAUGCAGAAAAUGGUAGGAUUGUUAAAGAAAAUAUGGUAACAUGCAAAUAUGGGCCCAAAUUGAAAGAACUGUAUAACAGUUGAAAUCGAAGGACAAAAAUCUAUAAUUAAACAGAUAGGGUAAACAUGAUGUCAUGGAAAUAUGAGAGUAAUCGAAAGAACAAUACAUCAUUAAUUUGCCUAAUAUAGAAAGAAGAGGAAAAAAACCCUUUGACGUAUAUGGUGCAUGUGGCACCUUUUAUCCAAAUGUAGCAAUAUUUAGAAUAUCUUCAGGAAAGUAGGCCAUGUGAACCGAUUUAGGGUGAGAUUGAACAUACCGCGCACAUGCUCAAGUCAUCUGGUAUGGUGAGAUGGAAUCUCUGGCGGAGGUCGCAAGGUCUUGAUGUGUCGGCGCACUGUACACUCUAUGAAUGAAAGAAAAUCCUCAAAUCAGCACAAACAAAAAUGAAUUCACGGCGAUUUCCGCCGGGUGAUUAAAGGAGGCAGAUGAUCUGGGAUGAGAGAUGAGAUAAUAUCUCAUUAAAUUAGUUACCUUGUCGUCCAUGAGAAAACACCCUCAGUAUGGCAGAUUCCCCAACCGAGCGGAGCUGGGUCGACCGCGAGCAGCAUCGAGAAAGUCGAUGGCGAUAGGCGGUGGCAAGUGGAAGUGGCAAAAUGCGUUGGGGUUUGCCGGCAGCCUGGCGGCGACAAGCAUCGAGCUAAGUGGUUACCACCGCGAUAGGCGGUUCCAUGCAUAGAUGCAGAGGAGCUUGUGUAGGUGUGAAUGGGGACCAGAGGCAUGGGGUGGCGGGCGGGGCUGAGGGUUUUUGUGACGUGGGGAUGGCGAGGGUUUUCUUUUUUCUUUUUUGAAUUGGGUGGUGAGGGUUUUCUGUCCCACAAAGAAUUUAGGAGGCAACGGUUUGCUAGAGCCAGUCGUGUGUGAUUGAUGCAAGAAGCAAAACGAAAGCCAUUGCACACACUUCCAAUUUUGGGAGCCGUGUGUGACUGAAGCAGCAGGCAAAAUGAAAGUCAUUGCACUCCGUGUGUGAUUGACGUACUACCUCCGUCCUAGUUUAUUGGUCCCCUCUGUAAUUUGUGCCAAAUUUCGACCAAAUAUUUGACUAAGAAAUGUUUAUGCAUGUCACCAAAAAUUAUAUGGUUGAACACUAUGUUCAAAUACGCAUCAAACGAUAUAAUUUUUGCUGACCUGCACUAACAUUUUGUCAUUUAAAUCUUGGUCAACAUUUAACACAAAUUACAAAGGGGACCAAUAAACGAGGAUGGAGGUAGAUUCCAUCAACCGAACUGAUUGCAUCCAUAUCCCACAGUUAGACAUAAGUAAACAUAGAUUAAACAUACUCAGACAUAGAUAAUAAGUGUACAUGUACACAAGCAUAGUUCAACCGUCAUUAAGCAUGCUCAAGCGUACAUAUAUAGUUCGAUCCCACAUCUCAUCUCACAAGCUGGCACGAUCCCGAAGCUUCUCCAGGUACUCGGCGUACGCGCUGUGCUCCACCCUGCGAGCAUACUUCUUUUUGAAGGAGCCAACGGCCCGUCCUCUUGCCUGCACCAGAACACUUUGAUACGUGUCUUCAAGCUUUUGGUUUCAGAAUGGGCAUCGAUAGCCACCGUUCUAGGUCCUAAUGCUCCCUCAGGAUUUGCCUGUUGUACCUCCUCUGGACAUCUUCAUCCUCGCUGUCCACAUCGUCAGACAACACCUAUACAAAUAGUUAAAAAAUGUGGUGUCAAAAUUAAUGGUUACAAACUAAUCUCUAGCGAAUAUUUGGCAGUUGCCAAAAAUUGGCAUCAAAUCAACUAUUAAAUGCCGUGAAGUAGGAUUAGGAAUUUAUGGCUAUUUAUUUAUACAUAUCCAAAGAUUAUGGUUCGAUUUUUAAGCACAUACGUCUAUGUACAAACCAAUCUUGAAGAAAAUAAUGGCACAAACAUAUGUAAGUCAUUCAAAAUCAGUUGUCAAGUCCUGGCUAGGAUUAUUAGCAUGAACGCUAACCCUAAUCGGAUUACUAGCCGAAAUCAUUUCCACAGAUGAAACAACUAAUCACUUAUCACUUGUACCAUCCAAACAAUCAAUACACUACACAGAUCUAACGAAACUUACUCAGAUUUCAUGGAUUGGGAGAACAUGACCAUAGGAUUUCUAUUCCAAAAAGGGGGAGACAGGAGUAACCAGAGAAACCCUGAGAUCUAUUUGACACAUAAAUAUGUAUAGAUGACUAACCAGUUAUCCGUCAUCGUCGGAGUCAUCGACGGAGUGGUCGUCGGAGUCAUCGCCCGAGUCAUCGCCAGAGUCGGUAUGGAACUCCUCCUCCGGCUGUGGAAGCUCGAUGCCAUAUACGAUGGCAACCUCUGUCUCCAUCUCCACGCCGUGCUCCGGUGCUUUAGCAGCCCCAGCGUCGCCACUCCCUCCGAUGGGGCGCUUCGGCGGCAUCCUCAUAUACUAACGGCUUUGAUGACUGAGAGCAGAUCGAGGAUUCAAGUGGAGAGAGGGGAUUGUGUGUGUGGCAAGGAUGCGGGGUGCGGCCGCUCGGGCACACCAUUAAUAUGGAGUAGUGGGCGAGAGGCGGGCCGCAGUCAAACUGCUGGCUUGCCUCCCAAUGAGCCUGUGCACCAGACUGCUGGCAUGCCUACCGUCGUUUCACACAGCUACUCGCACGCCUCCUGAUGACACUGCACAGCGAGCAAGCCUCAGUCAAUUCACACACCUGCACACACGCCUCCCGGUCUGCCUGUGCAGCGGACUGCUUGCAUGCGUCCCGUCAACUCACGCCUGCUCGCACGGUACACGGGUCGCGUGGCGACACGUAUAUUGUUUUUCUAUUUGGAUGAUUAAUGAUGCCACUUUAUUUUUGCUGAACCGAAGCAUGACACGUAUCCAUUGUUGGUCUAACGCCCACGGUUCGAAUAAAUAGUCCAUUUGGGAUAUUGGUUCCCAAUUAUUACUAGUCUCCCUUUUGUAAUUAGAUAAAGAUUACAUCAAAACUGGUCUCAAAUUUAACCAAAAAAGUACAAUGCAACUUUGUCUUGGUGUCCAUAUGACAACACGAUAAGUUUCAUGAACUUCAAAUAAGUUUUGGAUGUACUAGAAUUUAAAAAUCAAGAUUCUCAUUGUUUUAAAUUUGUUGCACGGGGAGUAAACAUGCACCCAGUGAGACACAUGUAUUUUUGCAAUCCAUUUAGGUGCACUGUCACGUGUGCAUGUAAGCUCGAAUUUGAUUUUUGCACAUUAUACCCGUAGAAAAUCAAUCAAUUAAUGUACUAAAACGUCUUAAUGAUCUCUGGGUUUUUUCGAAAUUAAAAUGUCCCUCCUUUGGUAACAUAUAUAUGUCCAUCGUGGGAUAAUUAAUUUAACAUGUACCGUACUUGCAGUGGACUGCGGUGUGUGUGUGGGUGUGUGUGUCUGGGGGUGGCGACUGGCUCGCAGUUUGCUACAAGUUGUGAGCCAUCAUGUGGGUUGGCCAUUUUGUUAGGAAGGCUGGUGCCAUACCAGAGUCGUGAAUUCAUAAUUUAAAACAUUACACAACCCUUUCAUACAUACAUGUUUUGGCCACAUGCAGUCGAUGGUUGUCCUACAUGACACUUGUUACUCGCGUAUGAUGCUUUCUAUGGGCCUGCGAGGUCAUCGUCCAUCACUUUAACGAACAGCUGGUAGUGAGGUUAAUUUGACUAGCAAGGUAGAAUAUUUUUUGUUUGUGUUAUGGUGGUAUAUAGUACGCGUCGAAGAGGUGGGAGGGGACUAGCAUAUAUAUAUAUAUAUAUAUAUAUAUAUAUAUAUAUAUAUAUAUAUAUAUAUAUAUAUACUAUACGUGCGCGUCCAUGAACAUGUACACCUCACUCAGUGUCGGGACUUUUCGGUUUCCGAGGCACGUGCCACAUCAAAAUUGUGAAAAUGGCUAUUCAAACAUCACACAACACCUCUUUGCGCCACAUGCAUGUAGCUGGUGGUUAUCCUAGCUAGGACACUCACUUGUGACACUUCCAUCUGUGGGCCCACGAGGCCAUCGUCGAUGCAUAUGUGCAUCACUUUGACCUAGCUACAUCGGGAGAGGUUAAUUAAUUUCACCAUCGAUGCGGAUUCUUUUUGGGUUGUAUUACGGUAGGAGCAUAUAGUAUGCGUCGAAGAGGGGGAAGGGGACCAUCAUAUGUAGUACGCUUCAUGAAUCUCGCUCUGUGUGGGUGCAUGGUUUACGGUUUCUGAGGCAUGUGUGGCACAUCAAAUUUGUGCAUUUUAUGUAUUAUAUUCAACAUAUAUUUAGCCCACUUGCAAAGCGAUGGUGGUUGUCCUCUCACACCCGCUUAAGCAGUUAUCAGCGAUAUCGAUGCUUUUCAUUUGUGGGCCCGCUUGGUCCAUCACUACUUUUUGCGUGACAAGGAAAGUGGUUAAUUUGACUUAAUUAGGAGGGUUUUUUUUGCUUGUAAAUACGGUAUAUAUAUCGCAUGCAUGUGUACGCAUGAAUCUCUCCCAUCGAGUCGAAGUGGCUAGUACAACGACACGUGAUGAACCGAUCUCCCUCUUUGUGGGGAGUGUACGAUUUUUGACGCACGCGCCACAUCAAUGUUGUGAAAUGGUAUUCAAACAUGCAUGCACGCAUCACCUCCAUACAUAUGCAUGUAGUGGUUGUCUUCGAAUGGUACACUCCCUCGCGUGGUUAUCGGCGACAAGCCUAUAUAUAUAUAAUAUUCGUGGGCCCACAUGGAGAUCCAUGAUCACCUUGACCGACAACAAGAUAGGUUACCAUGGCGGAUAUUCUUCAUUUGGUUCGUGUUAUCGUAGUAUAGGUCAUGGUGAGAUUCGGACCUAAUUAAAGUUUGAGCGCAUAUACUAUGCACCCGCAUGCAUGCAUGAAUCCCCGUCAUCGGCAUGAAGUGUGGUGUAACAUACAUAUGCAUCAUCAACCUAACCCUCACUUAGUGUGGGGAUUUCUAGUUCGAAAUCACGGUGCCACAUCUAAGUUGUUCCAUUGUGUACUAAAACACACACCUGAUCUAUACAUAUGUUUGUGCCACACGCAUGAAGUGGUUGUCUUCGGGGACUAGCUAGCUACAUGCGUGAUUAUUGGUGAGCUAGCCUAUCUGGGGUCGCAUGGACGACCAUCACUUUGACCAGCAACAAGAGAGAGGUUGUAUGACCAAGGUGGAUUGUUCUUGGUCCAUUUUACAAUCAAUCUUGGUGAGAUGCCUNNNNNNNNNNNNNNNNNNNNNNNNNNNNNNNNNNNNNNNNNNNNNNNNNNNNNNNNNNNNNNNNNNNNNNNNNNNNNNNNNNNNNNNNNNNNNNNNNNNNNNNNNNNNNNNNNNNNNNNNNNNNNNNNNNNNNNNNNNNNNNNNNNNNNNNNNNNNNNNNNNNNNNNNNNNNNNNNNNNNNNNNNNNNNNNNNNNNNNNNNNNNNNNNNNNNNNNNNNNNNNNNNNNNNNNNNNNNNNNNNNNNNNNNNNNNNNNNNNNNNNNNNNNNNNNNNNNNNNNNNNNNNNNNNNNNNNNNNNNNNNNNNNNNNNNNNNNNNNNNNNNNNNNNNNNNNNNNNNNNNNNNNNNNNNNNNNNNNNNNNNNNNNNNNNNNNNNNNNNNNNNNNNNNNNNNNNNNNNNNNNNNNNNNNNNNNNNNNNNNNNNNNNNNNNNNNNNNNNNNNNNNNNNNNNNNNNNNNNNNNNNNNNNNNNNNNNNNNNNNNNNNNNNNNNNNNNNNNNNNNNNNNNNNNNNNNNNNNNNNNNNNNNNNNNNNNNNNNNNNNNNNNNNNNNNNNNNNNNNNNNNNNNNNNNNNNNNNNNNNNNNNNNNNNNNNNNNNNNNNNNNNNNNNNNNNNNNNNNNNNNNNNNNNNNNNNNNNNNNNNNNNNNNNNNNNNNNNNNNNNNNNNNNNNNNNNNNNNNNNNNNNNNNNNNNNNNNNNNNNNNNNNNNNNNNNNNNNNNNNNNNNNNNNNNNNNNNNNNNNNNNNNNNNNNNNNNNNNNNNNNNNNNNNNNNNNNNNNNNNNNNNNNNNNNNNNNNNNNNNNNNNNNNNNNNNNNNNNNNNNNNNNNNNNNNNNNNNNNNNNNNNNNNNNNNNNNNNNNNNNNNNNNNNNNNNNNNNNNNNNNNNNNNNNNNAGGGAGGGGGGGGCUGCUAGCUACUUUGCACUUUGCUAGGUGAGCCUCGGUUGGGGCGGGGGGGGGCAUGCAUUCAUAGCUUAGGAUUCCCUUUGUGCCGACACGAGGGAGGGGGACAAGCAAUAUCGUGCGCUUUGUGAAAUAGGUGCGACAUCGAAGUUGCAUUUGGUAUUUGAAAAUCAAAUCACCCUUUUCAUACAUAUAAAUUUGGUCCACAUGCAAGUGUGUUCGUGUUCUGACCCUCUCCCACGACAUUUGUCGCCAAAUUUAUGAACAUUAAACAAGUUGGAUGACGCAACAAACACGGUUCACUCAAACUAACCGUUUGCCACGCCAGCACCCCUGUCACGCACACAUCCGCACAGUACAUUGGGCUCCACGAGGCUCCCCCUCUCAAAAAUAUCUUCUCGCCUCGACGGUUUUUCUGUUUCAUAACACACGGUUGUUAUCUCCGGACCGUGUUCGAUGUUUCUUCUUCCCAAUCCCACUGCAUCCCUAGAAAAUAUCUGCCUGCCUCGAGGAGGGUUUUUGUGUUUCAUAACACACGGUUGUUAUCUCUGGACCAUGUGUGAUGUUUCCUGUUCCUAAUCCUGCCUGCCCCUAGAAAAUAUCUGCCCGCCUCGAGGAUUUUUCUGUUUCAUAACACACGGUUGUUAUCUCCGGACCGUGUGGGAUGCACCAUCGUCAAAAUUUUCAUUAGCUCCGGCAUUUCACUCCCGCGUUUGACUCUCACGUUGUAAAAUUUUCAGUACUCGUGUCAUUUCCUCAAACACACCUGCCCCACCUCCACACACACACACAUACACACACACACACACACAAACACACACCAAAACCUCCACGGGCGCACGCACACACACGCACACACCCUCCCUCGCUCAAAACCCUAGCAAGGUCCCUGCCACUGCUGCCGCGAGACCUCCAUUGUCAACAUCUGCCGGUUUGCCCGUACAGCUUACCCACCGGUCUCCAUACCAAGGCCCCCCUGAGUUUCUUAGAUGACGCCUGCCAAACGCUCCUUUUUCCCCCAGAUCCCCAUCCCCAUCCCUAUUCCCCACUCCAGAGCAUCGCAGCCUAAGCCCAGCUACGCUUCAUGUGGAGCUCGAGGAGCGACUCGCCCAAAAGAGGUGUAUCGCGAUCUCUUCGCCCGACGUCGCCAAGGAAGUUGACGACCAUUACUGGCGGCAGGAACUCAAGCAGCGGGCUAGAGUAUGCGGGCAUGUCUCUUUCACCGACUACAACAUCGAGGUCAUGGAUAGCGAUGGCUUGAGGAGGGCCAUGUCACAGGUAGUGGCCCACCCCCAACCCUCGGGUUCAACCGCCGUCGAUCUCAAGCAUGGCCUCGCUGCUGAUAUCCUAUGGCUCGCUGUCAACAACUUGCCAUCCUACAUGGCCAUCGAGCCCCUUUUGUCAUUUUGAAGGACACGUUCUGCGACGCUGGCUUGGGAUCCAUAGCUUCCAAGUCAGACCUCAUCGACGGCGACCACGAGGAGGGCACCCUCUCCAGCUCUUCCAAGGGGAAAAAGCUCGUCUACGACAUCAGGGAGGGCACCCUACAGCCGUGCUCUUCCAAUGGGAAGGAUCCCAUCUGCGACAACAUGGAGCGCAUCCAGGGUCCGUUCUCUUCCCACGAGAACGAGCCCAUCCGUGACAAGUGAGGAAACCCACGAUUUGUUUUGCCGUGCCUCUUCAUGGGGGUAAACCCAUGAUUUGUUUUGUCGAGUCCCUUUUGUAGUGUAGUGAGAAUAUGUCCAGUUUUAAUUGCUAUAUCAGGUUGUUUGUAGUAUGCCUUGUUUAUUUCAGCUGUUCACAAUGCGAUGCUCUAUAUGUGCAAUUAUUUACUGUGUAGUACAUUUCAUUAAUCCAGUUUUAGACAUACCAAUAGGAAUGCAUAUAUUUGCUUGUUGUUAAGCCUGUUAUAGCUAGCAUAUGCCUCUUUUAAAGUUUUUUGAUUGUUCUGUUGUUUGUAGUUAGCAUAUGUCCAUUUUCAAAUGCUAUCUUUGGUUGUUUGUAGUAUGCCUUGUUUAUUCUAGUUAUUCACAGCGUGAUGUUCUAUAUGUGCAAGUAUGAACUGUGCAGUUCAAUUUCAUCAGUUCCAAUUUCAACAAUACCACUAUGGCCCUGUUUGUUUCGGAUUCUAGGACCAGAUUCAGCUUUGCCAGUGAAGCCGAAUCUAAAAUCCAAAACAAACAGCUAUUUGGAAUCAUCUUUGCUUGUGAAGCUGAAUCUGGAUUUGGGUCAUUUUUAGUGCAAUUUCCCGAAGCACCUCAAAGUGUACUUCAGUGGUGAAGCUGAUUCGCAGAAACAGCUUCGCCACUGAAGCGAAUCCAUAGGUGAUUAAAAUCCAAGCGAAGCUGAAACAAACAUGGCAUGAAUGACUACAUUUGGUUGCUGCAUCUUGUAGUUAAACACACCUUUCCAUUUUUAUUUAACAAUAACCAGUGUACUUAGACCAGCACAAUACCAGUUUGAAUCACUAUGUUUGCUUGUUGUUAAAUGUUAGGUCUGUUGCAGUUAACACACCUUUUCACUUGUUUUGGUUUACUUGCGUGCUUGAACUUGCACACUAAAGCUAUCUUUUGGAAAUUAUUUUGUCUGCCAUGGAUAAUUUUGGUUGAUGUUUAGCCUGUUGUUCUUAACAUGCUUCUCGAUGUCCCUACACAGGACAAUUUCGGGAACGACUGCUGUUUUCCAUCAAAGUUAGUUUCAUCCCAUGGCUUAUAUGUGCUCACUGUUCAGGAUAUCGGUAGCUGGUACCAUAUAGGCUGGGGGAUGAUAAGGGACUAAUCGGUGAAUCUGACUUUUAACUGAAUAUAUCUGCAACCCAUUUAUCAUUAUGUUAACUAGGGCCAUAUGUAAUAUAUCUGAGGCUAGAUAGCAACAUGCACUAUACUUAAUGUCUACAUAUGCAAUCCUAGGCUACAUAGCAACAAUGAAGAGUGUUACCUUAAUGUUCUGAUGAUGUCUAGAUACACGUAGAAGAGCAGCAGCAACAACAAGAACAACAACAACACAGCCCUGUUUGGAUACUCAACUUAGCUUAGAUGUUAGAGUUAGUUUCUAGCUCAUGACUAACCCUGAACUAACUCCAUCCAAAGAGGUGUUUGGAUGACAGGAUUAGAUACUUAGAUUGACAAUAAAUGCACUAGGAGAACUAGCUCCAAUUAGCACCUCUUGGGUUGGAUAUUUUUUGGGGUGGGUUAUAGAUGCAACUAGCUCAAACUAGCCCUCAUGUUUAGAUAUACUUUAGGGCUAUUUGAGCCCUAACUAGCUCAAACUAACUCUAACCCAUGGAUACAACAACAGUUAAUCAGCCGAUAAUUUGUAAGAAUGCAAUAAACUCCUUCCGGCCCAAAAUAUAAGCUGUUAAUUCAUCUAAUAUGUGAGUAUAUUGGAUGUUAUAAGAUAUUAUAUAAGAGUGUUGUACUACAUCAUUGUGCAAUUGGUGUUUAUCUUCUAACAUUAACUUGGUGCUUUUAGGUACAUAUGUCAUUGGUAAAGAUCCGUGCAUCGACCCUUUCUGCGUAUGGGGAAAUGAGAUAUCGAUGAAACAGCAUCAAGUGAGGAAGCUGAUAAAGAUUGUUAGUAAAAUGGGUCAAAAGAUGGCAAUUAAACUAUUUGUUGACACUUUAUCCAAUACAAUAGCGAAUUGCAGGAUGGUAAGUAAGAACUCUGCAGCCUUCUUUUUACUGCCCAUAAUGAGUUGUGUUAGAUGACAAUGUCUGAAUCUUUUUUCCUUUGAAGUGAUUCCCAAAGUAGUUUACUAAAGAUUACCUAUCAAACUACAUGAUUGGUGGGCAUGCAAAGGUUAAAGUAUUUCUACCAGAACACGAUGAUUAUCUGGAUGUUUCCAUGAAGACUGUGAAGGGUGGCGGUCGGCCAUCACAAGGGGUUGGACUAGAGUCGUGCAUGCCUUCUGCAUGGAUGAUGGCACAAUAUGGGCAUUCUGCUUCACCUUGUUCAGCAGCCAGAAUGUAUUUCUCCUCUUUCUUUACCAUCAUUAAUAGUACAAGUAUACAACUAUGGUUCAUCAUUCUUUAUUUGGUUCUUAUGUAAAUCUUGAUGUGUACCUAUGAAUCGAAUAAUUCAUUGAUUGUCUGAACCUGAUGGAUAUGAAUAAAGCUAUAUCAUACAUUGAAUUUCAAUUUCAAUUUCAAUUUGAUAUAGCAGCAAUUAAAUUACGGUGAAAUUAUGCUCCCCAGGUUGUUACGGCACACACGGUUGGUAAAAUACAAACGUUUCCGAUAUACACCAUAAUCCGAGACGGUUCAGAGAGAGGAAACGUGUGCAAGCGUGCACACAGUUGCCUUUUGCAAAGCGUGUGUGGUGUCAGAAAAUAUCACAAAUGGUGCUGGCAAACUAACCGUUUGCGAUAGUUUCCUUAUCGUACACGAUUCGCAACCAUGAACUGUUUCUGAUGAAGUAUGCAUCGUAAACGUUGCACCACAGAAUAGCGUGUGCGAUAUUUGCCUUAUUGUACAUGAUGCGCAACCAUGAACUGUUUCUGAUGAAGUUUGCAUCAUAAACGUUGCACCACAGAAUAGCAUGUGUGGUAGUUGUUGCGUACGACGAUGUUACGAUGGUCCGACGUUUCGUAAUCCUAUCCGACACUCGUAUGAUGAUUAGCUAAUAUUCUUAAUUAGUUAUCGCAUACGGUUUGUGAAAAGCGAAUGUGUGUGAUUGUAUGCUUAUCCUGAACAUAAAGGGGCCAAGCGGCACACAUGGUGCGGCUGAACAACAUGUACAUUAUUUCGUGAGCAUAAAGGGGCCUCGAUUACGAUAACUACGCGACAGCGGAACGACGAUGAAGCGGGACUUCAUAGCACAGGGACACCAAUGUGGACAUGAUCUAGACAUGGAAGCACUCCUAUCCGGUUAGACUUUCCUGAAAGCUGGCAUAACAUGCCAGGCCAGUACAUUGAAUGUACUUCCAAGCUCACAACAAGCAUAAACAUAAUGACAAACAAUAUCAUGAUAUUUAAUCAAGUUGAAUGCAUAUAAAAAACAUACUACUGAUGCAGUGCAAACAAACUUGUGCACCGAGUCCCUCAUACUCUCUUACCAACGGGUUACCUCAUAACCAAACGAUGAUCAUUCACGGAUCACAAACGAAACCAACACUUUGGUUUCCACAACAAACCGUCUCACCGAUCUCAUCACUUAACUAGUGCCAAACAUAUAACUGAGUGUGCAAGAUUACUUAUUAAUGUUGAUCCAUGGUGCAACUUACUCAUGAGUUGUGUCCGUAACUGAGGAUAUUUAAAUACACUCUGCAAAGGUAGUACACUGGACCCACAUCACGGAACCCAUGGCCUCGUACUCCCAUUCGGGACCAACGACAUUCCGAUAGAAUCCUCCCAUUGCCAUGACACUCUCCCGGCCACUUUGACUAACACCCCACUGGGCUAAGUCAUGGGUGGCCCCAUGCCUACCAAAGGCAUCAACGGCCACCGUCGUGGCAAAACUUAAACGGUCCCAAACAGGGACAAGGUACCAUAAUAAUGAAUGGGAACACAAGGUUAUGUCUGCUUACCGAGCCAGGGUACCACAUGCCCAUAACCUUCCCUCAUUGGAGGCACCGACCAGAGGCAUGACAACGGACCGAAUAAAGGACUUCCCAUAAAGGCAAAUGUGGUUGCACUGGGAAAAACUCGAUUCAGUGGCACUGACGAUGUCCCGGACUAGGGGGUACUCACCACGUCAUCUCCCGAUCUGUUAGAUUGGGCCGAGGACCCCCAUGGCCGUAUACUCAUGGGCCAGUCCGGACAGCUGCCGCAUACAAGGAAGAUUCCACAAGACUUGGCGAUCAAGACAAGGACUCCUCCCCCACCGGCGUAUUCGGCUAGGACUCUUGUUAUCCUAGGCCUUUGGUGCAUUAUAUAAACCAGGGCCAGGUUAGUCAACAGAGAUACAAUAUAGAACAACAAUCAUACCAUAGGCUAGCUUCUAGGGUUUAGCCUCCUUGAUCUCGUGGUAGAUCUACUCUUGUAACCCACAUCAUCAAUAUUAAUCUAGCAGGACGUAGGGUUUUACCUCCAUCAAGAGGGCCCGAACCUGGGUAAAAACAUCGUGUCCCUCGUCUCCUGUUACCAUCCGCCUAGACGCACAGUUCGGGACCCCCUACCCGAGAUCCGCCGGUUUUGACACCGACAUUGGUGCUUUCAUUGAGAGUUCCUGUGUGUGUUCGGCAAAGGGUCGAUGGCUCACCCGCAGAUCAACUACAACUUCGGCAUAUUCGUCACCAGCUCGACUGGUCACCUUGGUUCGACCAAGGACUGCGCCCUAUCUCCGAUCAUCAUGUUCGGAUAAGGGCCUUCAUCAACAUCAGCUCCGAUCUCUAUCAAGAUCAUGGAGGAAUCAUCCAGUGAGCCCGGGGGCUCAACGUCAACAAUGCCCUCGGGCGACCGUACUGUAUUUCUGGACAGCGGACUUGUGUCCGCCGCCACCACCUCCUCAGGUGUCGUUUUAACGAUUGCUUCAGUGGAAUUGUGCGGAAUUGAGUCUACAACAACCCUGGAAAAUUUCGUCGAGUUCCGAUGGAGGAAUCUCUGGCAAUCUCCGGUAUACCGGAACCGCAUUGAAUCUGGACGAGAAUCCGGACGAGUUUAGGGCGUGGUGUCUAGCUUCUAGCUCGGACUUCCUUUGGAAGAUCCAACCGUUGAUCGGCUGCGGAAUUCCUAUAUCUACCACCCCUCAAAAUUUCAGCUCGAUCCGACCGUCCAAACUUCGGGAACCUUCCGAUUAGUGCAUCACUUUUCGGAUCUGUUUUCUGUGCGAAAACGAAUCCGACCCGAGUUCGUCUUUUUGAUGAACGGGAUUUCAGACAUCCUUUUUGAAGGAAGUUUUGUAUGGGGUAUUGUGUUUUGUUUCCGAACACAUCCCACUAACUUUAAGAUCUUUUGAACAUGAUCUUCAACAUCAUGCUGGUGUCAAACCAGUCCGGCAAUAUUGCUCCACGGCUGCCGACCUGCGCUAGAUGCGUCGUCACUUUGUUGAGCCGAGCUCAAUUUCUUCGGAUCAUCAUCUCGGCAAGGCGAACAAGAGUCCGGCAUCGCGAAGGAUAAAUCAUCACCAACAUCGCCGCCCCACGGAUUACACGGAGCAGGCAUACCGGCAUCGCCGCAUGGUCGCUUCAUAAAGCCGGCAUCGACCACGCCACGACCUGCAUCGGCAGGGCCGCACUAUUGCUUCUUCAAGCUGGUGUCCAUCACGCCGACCAACUUCGACAUCUCGGCUGGACCGGGGGCUUCGCCAUCUCUUCAUCAACCUACUCCGGACACUUCGGCGUCACUAGCCGACCAGGCAAUGGGUGCGCAGAUCAAGUCCCAAUUUUGGGAAUCACCUUCCUUCGGAUUGCUACAACAAAUAAAUCAGGAGCUAUUAAUCCUAGUAUUUCUUUUUGCUUGUUUGGGUUAAUUUUUCCCAAGGAAUUAUUACUCUGGUUUGUCCAUCAUAUGUACGCAGGUCUAUCAAACGUGGCCGCAUUAACGACGGUUGCAUGGUGGUUCGGUCAGUUUCCGUACAUAGUCCGGCGAACGCCGGAUCCGGAACUCGAACCGACCUGUGAAUUCAGGCCUUGCCAUGCCUUUACCGCAUCACGCCGCCGCCCUGCAUCGACAUUGACUUCGGCACCAGGCCAUAUUUCUUUUAUUACUCACUUUGCAUAAAUUAUUUAUUAUGCAAUUAUUUUUUUAUUAUUACUAUUAUCUCUGGUUUGCACUAUUUUUUGUGCACAGGAAAAUGAUCCAGCCGGACUAUAUCCUUUGACGUCACCUCGGCUGGACGGGGGCCUUCGUCAACACUUCAUUACCCCAUGCCAGGGACUUCGGCAUCACUGUGCCGUCCUACAUUGACCGUGCUAUGUCACCACUUCGGAGUGUCGAGCUCUUUGCUCCGCCACCUCGGGACCGGCUUGGGGGAGGGAACCUUGUUCCGCAUCAAGCUCGGACCGCGUCGUCAAUACCGAACACAUUAACCAGCUAAGUUGCCUUCAUGCUCAAAGUUUUAAAUUUCUAACUUGUGUUCGGUUCGACCAAGCAUUAUACUUUUUUCGAAAAAAAAGUUGCUUGUAAAAAUUUUCCUUGUCCAAACUUUGUUUGCACAUACUUGACGCACUACCCACGCUCAUUAUACCUGGGGGCUUCUUUAACAGGAGUUUAUUAAUAUGGGCUUUAUGCCCAACACAUGUGUCACACUUCCACAUGUACCUUUUAUUCACCAUUAUAUGCAUCGAUAUGACUUAAGUUUUGGCCAAGCUGGGUUGCCUGGCUCCUGUGCUUACCCCUACGUUCCCGAUUGUUCGGCUAGGUGGUAAAGGGAGCACCUCUGCGAUUGUUACUGCCGGGUCAGCCAGAUGUGUACCUCAGACUAGGUGAAGCCGAAAGCUAGCAUUCUUAAGGGAAUAGUCGGUCGGUGAACUAAAAGAUGAUUUCUUACCCAUUUAUUUACCUGCCCCCAGAUGUUUCUCUGCUCUUUUCGCAGUCCGGACAUGCACUUUAGGGCAUAUGCCUCCCAGGGAAAGGAACCCCUAACGGAACUAUUCUCCCUGGAAGAUGUUUCUUACUAACCAUGUAAUAUAACAUAACUAGUUGGGCACUUGUCUGAUAAAGCACUAAUGACCCCUACGCCUGGUCUCCACGCAUGCCCCGGUUUUUAUAACCGCGAGGGUAUUCGGACACACUCCGGACUAUUGGGUCCAGAGGUUGAAGCGAAAAGGUCCGCUACGACAAACGAUCUACAAUCCGGCUAGAAGGCAUUCUACAUGUCACCUUACAUUAUAUAGUCAACUUUUACCCAAGUCGCUUGGGGGCUCUUAUGUUUAUUUGAGCCAUUUCAUACUAACUGUUUUUCUUCUUAGUCGUUGCAAAGUUUUUAUUAUUUAUCACUCCUUUUCUCGACACUAUUGUGCGGUCACUAGCAGGGGAGCCUAAUUUCUCUCUCAAAACCGCUAGAGUUCAGUUUUCUAAACUGGCCUAAUAAGAAGUACUCCGCCUUCGGGAUGGGAGACUGAAGCCGUAGGCUGACCCGCUUGAAGUCUUGAGAUAGGAUGUGUCAUGUUAAAGCACGGCAGAAGCACAUUUUUUUUUCUAAAGUCCAAUUUUCGGAUUGGCAUCAAACACUUGAUCUUGUUCGGACGUCAUGUUUUUACUGACGUUCUUUGGCUUUCCAAGCUUUUGGCACUUUUAAACUAUUUGUGUGUUUUCAGCACACGUCUCGCAGUGCAACGCCGGACAACUUUAGAGAUUCGGCAAAAACAUUCUUAGAUAUUGCUAUAUAUGCAUCAGUUUCAAGUUGUGUCUUCGGUCAAUAGUUGGGUUGCCUGGCUCCCACGCUUGCCUCCUACGUUCCGCUUUGUUCGGCUAGGUGUGCAAAGGGAGAACCACUGCGAUUGUGCUUCCAGCUCGCAUGGUCAAGCACCUCAGUGGAGAAAGCCGAAAACUGACUGUCACAAUAGGUGUAAACUGGUCAGCGAUCCGAUGACUCUAUUAAAUGACGGGCCAUUCAUAACAUUGGCCCAAGUGUUUCCGGCUUGACCUCGACUGUCACCGAACACUACCGGGGGCUAGUAACUGGCCUCCCAAACUAAAUCCUCAAUAUUUUGCUCUUACAUUGGAGAUGAGGUUUCAUGAUCAUGCUUAGCAUGACAACCUAAAGAAAGGAACCGAUAGUGGGACUAUUUUCUUUGGAAGACAUUUCUUCUGUUAAACAGUAAUAUAACAUAUCUCUCUGCGUACCUUUGUUUAUAAAACCGUAUGGCCAGAUUGCCUUGUUUGUCAUAAAUCUUUGCCCUCAUAAAGGCUUUAUAAAGUAGGACAAACAAUCCUCGACUAUUGGCCGAGGAGGUGGAAGCCGAUGGUCGGUCAACAAAGCUUUGUACAAUGCGGAUCCGAGCAUUAAUGACCUAAAGUACUUGGAUACAUAGAGUCAUUACACAUAAUUUGUGAUUUUACUAUGGAUAUCAAUCCUUAAUUCGGCCACCCGUGCCCGCAUUAAGGCUCGGGGGCUACUGGGCUUCGGGCUUAUUAUUUACAAAUAUUAAAGGGGCACAUUGAUCCCCUGAUCUGGUGUUGCCACCCGACCAGUAUCUCGGGGGCUACUGCAUUGCUUGUUUUAUGCAGAAUAUCUUAAGUGCAAUACAGUUUCUGAGGAGAUUUUGAUCCUCAGGUUGGUCGGCCGCACCCAACCCGAGUCUUGAGGACUGAGCACGCCGCUUUUUGUGUCCCGAAGUAUUCUGCCGAGCUAGGACUUGAUCCUUAGACCGAUUUUGCAAAUCAACCUGAGUCUCAGCAGCUACGGGGAUUAGCGGUCGUAUGUCAUCCUUCAUGUGCAUCUCGGGUUUUAGACCGAUACCCACCUUGAGGGCUACUGGCUAUGUAUCUCGGCAGAGAAUAAAUUGCACCAAUAAAAAAUAUUAUCAAAAAUCGGCCCACAUUCGGGUGGUGCACCACCUCGGAAGCAAUCCGGCAUAAGGCUCGGACGCUAGUGGCUGGCUCCAUAGAGGGCAUUUCUGGCAUUAAGCUCGGCUAAACUCCUUCAAACUUCUUUGAACCAAGGUGAUUUACGACACCUCGGAUACAUAAUCCGGCGUUGGAGCUCGGAUACAGUCCGGUGUUGGAGCUCGGAUACAUAGUCCGGUGUUGAAGCUCACAUACAUUCCGGCGUUAGAGCUGGGAAGCGGUCCGGCGUUGGUGCUCGGCUGCAAAAGAUACCUUGAAUGCAGUCCGGCGUUGGAGCUCGGGCGCAAGAGGACGCUGCCGCCCGGGAACAACUUCAAACCCGAAGUGUGGCAUAAAAAUAACAAGGCAUUGAUAAAGGCGGAAACUUAAAGGGGCUCCUCGGAUACCCGACGUGUAAACUCGUCGAAUGCAUUUCGGCGAUCCUCAAGAUCGAAGAUGAGAAGAUUUGUUGAACCAGUUUUCAAGACCGACGACUGAAGAUGAAGAACGGUUUGGAAGAAUCGAGGAGCGUCCCUAAACUUGAAGACCGGUUCAGGGGGCUACUGACGGUGUCCCGGACUAGGGGGUACUCACCACGUCAUCUCCCGAUCUGUUAGAUUGGGCCGAGGACCCCCAUGGCCGUAUACUCAUGGGCCAGUCCGGACAGUUGCCGCAUACAAGGAAGAUUCCACAAGACUUGGCGAUCAAGAUAAGGACUCCUCCCCCACCGGCGUGUUCGGCUAGGACUCUUGUUAUCCUAGGCCUCUGGUGCAUUAUGUAAACCAGGGCCAGGCUAGUCGACAGAGAUACAAUAUAGAACAACAAUCAUACCAUAGUCUAGCUUCUAGGGUUUAGCCUCCUUGAUCUCGUGGUAGAUCUACUCUUGUAACCCACAUCAUCAAUAUUAAUCUAGCAGGACGUAGGGUUUUACCUCCAUCAAGAGGGCCCGAACCUGGGUAAAAACAUUGUGUACCUCGUCUGUUGUUACCAUCCGCCUAGACGCACAGUUCGGGACCCCCUACCCGAGAUCCGACGAUUUUGACACGGACAGGCACCAUGACCCGAUCAACUUUAUGUUCAAGUUCAAUUAUCAUUAGGUUUAACUUGAAAUGAAAAUACUCGAGUCACCAUAUGCCAUGAUCAUGCAACCAUUCGACAUGCAUCACAUAUCACUUAGAAUAAACAGAUCAACAUCAUCAAAAGUUCUACUUGCACAAGUCAUCACUAAACUUUACUGAUUCCUUUUCACUGGUUAUUAGCACUCAUCAUUUUUUUUAGUUAUAGCAUUAUCAUAUGAAACCAAGCCAUCACAUAAGAAAAUAAUACCGAUACUAGUCAUAUCAUAGCCAUAGCAAAAAUCACAUAGUCAAACUACUCAUGCUGGCUCGCACUAGUCUAGGUACUCACUUCUGUAGACUAAGCAUUUUACUCAUGACAAAAUAACUAACAUCAUCAUUAUUCAUUAAAUAAUUAUAUGCAUGAAAUAACUCAUUUUCAAGUUGGAAAAUCAUGAAUAUUGCAAUGACACCAUGAAAAUGUUGGUGUGGCUUGCCUUAGUUCAGAGGAGCUUCACACUCCUCCUGGGUCUCCUCAAGACAAGCUUCUCCUUCUGAAAACAAAUAAAAUCACAAAAAGAAAAUAUCAAGAACACUUCUGAAAAUUACCAGAAAAUGUAGACAGCAGAGGAAAUUCUCAUUUUGUGGUGUGCUGCUAGAUCUUUUCAAUAAGAACACGAUGCAAAAAGAAUCAACUCUUUUUGACUUAUGGUUUAAAAGUUACAGUUGGUCAAAGUUUAUGGUGAAAAUUUGAUUAAAUUUGAAUAAAAAGAAAAACCAGGGGGUGACGUUGAUGGCGUACUCUAGGAAUACGCCACCACUCAUACCACUUCAGGUGUGUGAGAGAGAGAGAAGUAGAGACGACGCCGCUUCGUCAGUGCGUUCUCCGGCAAGGAGUGCUCGACGGCCAGAUCCAUAGGGAUAGAAAGAGAGAGGGGGUCGAGGCGCACCUGCGUGUACCCGUGGUUUGGCUAGAGGUGGUCGGACAGGGUCGGAACGAGCUUCUCUAGCGGCUGCAGAAAGCAGAGCUCGCUGCAGUUGAAGACGACGGCAACGUGGGGCUGCACCAGGGGCUCCAACGGGGUCGGAUGGCACCAAUGAACCACCAGAGGGUCGCUUGAGGAGUGGAUGGAACUCGAGAGGCAUCGGAGUGAGGAGGAGGAGCUGCAGGGAUCGCCGGUGAGCUCAGGUAGGGGCGGCGGCCAGAGGCCUGCCUGCCCAGGCUGCGGCUUAGGUACGGGUUUGUGGAGGCUGGGUGAGUGUGUGGUGAUGCUUGAAGAGGCUGGUGAGGGAGUCCUAGAUUAAUGGGUCCUCGGAUAGCCGGACUAUAUACAUUGGCCGGGCUGUUGGGCUAUGAAGAUACAAGAUAAGUAGACUUCGUCCCGUGUCCGGGUGGGACUCUCCUUCGCGUGGAAGGCAAGCUUGGAGAUUCAGAUAUGUAGAUUCCCUUCUCUGUAACUGACUCUGUGUAACCCUAGCCCCCUCCGGUGUUUAUAUAAACCGAAGGGUUUAGUCCGUAGGACAAGAACAACAAUCAUAAUCAUGAGCUAGCUUUUAGGGUUAGCCUCUACGAUUUUGUGGUAGAUCAACUCUUGUAAUACUCAUAUCAUCAAGAUCAAUCAAGCAGGAAGUAGGGUAUUACCUCCAUAGAGAGGACCCGAACCUCGGUAAACAUCGUGUCCCCCACCUCCUAUUACCAUUCGCCUUAGACGCACAGUUUGGGACCCCCUACCCGAGAUCCACCGGUUUUGACACCGACAUUGGUGCUUUCACUGAGAGUUCCACUGCGUCGUCAUCAUAAGGCUUGAUGGCUCCUUCAAUCAUCUACAACAACUCAGUCCAGGGUGAGAUCUUUCUCCCUGGACAGAUCUUCGUAUUCGGUGGCUUCGCACUGCGGGCCAACUCGCUUGUCCAUCUGGAGGAGAUCGACAGCGACGUCCCUAGCCAUUAGGUCAGGUUUGGAAGCUUGAACUACACCGCCGACAUCCACAUAGACUUGGUCUUCGACGGAUUCGAACCCAUGACAGCCACACCCUGUAACCACGAUGAACAUGACUUAAAUAUGUCAUCGGAUCAUGCUCAGGAGACAGCGCCGGUAACUACCCUGGCCCUAGAUCCAGCGCAGAUCGUGCCAUCCGAGGACGGGAGGAUGGACCCCGCCAUGGAAGCCGCAUACUCAAUGGUGCUAGAGUCGAACACAGAUCUAAUCUCCAACGAGGUCUGUGUCAUCGGACCCUCGGACUUAUCUCUGUCCAUAGGUUCCGAACCGCGUGUAUCCGCACCCAUCGAAUCUGACUGGGCGCCGGUCUUGGAGUUCAGCUCCGCGGAUAUCUUCCAACACUCACCCCUGGGCGACAUGUUAAACUCAUUAAAAUCUCUCUCCUUGUCAGGAGAUUCAGGGCCGAACUAUGUCCGGCUUGAGUGGGGAGCGGAUGACGAAGAACUUCAUUACCCACCCACCACCCACUUGAUAGCCACUAUUGACGACUUAACCGACAUGCUUGACUUUGACUCCGAAGACAUCGACGGUAUGGACGACGAUGUGGGAAAGGAAUAGGAACCACCGCCCACAGGGCGCUAGAUAGCCACCUCAUCGUAUGACAUUUACAUGGUGGAUACACCCAAAGAAGACAAUGGCGAGGACAAAAAGGAUACAAUUGAGGAUAAGCCUCCUGAGAAGCAGCCGAAGCACCAACGUCAGCGGCGCUGCUCUAAACCACUCCAUGGUAAAGACAGCGAUACCGGCACAAGAGACAAUAGCACUCCGGACGAUGCUGAAGACGAAGACUACCCAGCCCAGCCGAGUUUCGAACAGGCCGAACGGGAUGACGGGCGAGCCAGCCCUGAUGAACAUGCCACGAACAAAGACUCGGAAGACAGCAAUUACAUGCCCCUCUCCGAGGAUGAGGUGAGCCUCGGCGAUGAAGAAUUUACCUUGCCUGAGGAUCCCGUUGAGCAGGAGCGCUUCAAGCGCCGGCUUAUAGCCACUGCAAAGAGCCUGAAGAAGAAGCAGCAGCAGCUUCAAGAUGAUCAAGAUUUGCUCACUGAUAGAUGGGCUGAGGUCCUGGCAGCCGAGGAAUAUGGACUCGAACGGCCAACAAAAAGUUACCCAAAUCACAGGUUGCUACCUCAAUUCGAUGACGAGACACUAGAGCCCACACUACCAGUGCAUGAUGCGGCUGACCGACCACCGCGUGGCCGAGAUAAAGUGGCGUAUCAGUCCGAACACCAGCCUGCACCCCGUCGCCGAACAAAUAGAAAUACAAAAGCUUGGGGAUACACACAUGACCUGCGGUAUGACUUGGAAAACAAAGCAGGAUAGCCCAGAUCGAUCUAUGGAUCGCCGGAGCAUGCCCCAAUGCGCGACGAUGGCCGCCACGCCAGAUAUAAUAAAUACAAACCUGUCCGGGCCGAAUACAGUAGACCAGCUCCAUCUGAACUGUGUCGCGACGUAGCCCGACAUAGAGGCGCUGAACAUGAAUUCCCAGAAGGGUUUAAACCCGUAAACAUCGAAUCGUAUGAUGGGACACCAGAUCCCGCGGUAUGGAUCAAAGACUUCCUUCUCCACAUUCAUAUGGCCCGCGGUGAUGAUCUCCAUGCCAUCAAGUAUCUCCCGCUAAAACUCAAGGGACCAGCUCGGCACUGGUUGAACAGUCUGCCCGAAAACUCUAUUGGUAGUUGGGAGAACCUGGAAGAUGCAUUCCUUGAUAACUUGCACGACACCUAUGUCCAACCUCCAGAUGCCGAUGACUUAAGUCAUAUAACCCAACAGGCCGGAGAGUCAGCAAGGAAAUUCUAGACUCGGUUCUUAACUAAAAAGAACCAAAUCGUCGACUGUCCGGAUGCCGAAGCCCUAGCGGCCUUUAAGCAUAACAUCUGUGAUGAAUGGCUCGCCCGACACCUCGGACAAGAGAAGCUGAGAUCCAUGGCAGCCCUUACGACGCUUAUGCCCCGCUUUUGUGCGGGCGAGGACAACUAGCUAGCUCGUAGCAACAACACCUCAAGUAAACCUAGAACUUCUAAACGCAGAGAUAACAACAGCAAGCCCCGACGCAACAAACACAAGCUUCGAAACAACGGCAAUAGCACCGAAUUCACGGCUGUCAACGCCGGAUUCAAAGGCUCUAAGACCGGUCAACGGAAGAAACCAUUCAAAAGAAACAAUCCGGGCACGUCCAGUUUGGACCGCAUACUCGACAGUCCAUGUCAAAUUCACGGCACCCCAGGUACACCGGCUAAUCAUACCAACAGAGAAUGCUGGGUCUUCAAACAGGCCAGCAAGUCAAAUGCCGAAAGCAAAGGAAGGGGUCGCAAAGCGAUGACGAUGACGAGGAGCCCUGGGCACCGAAGACAGGAGGGAAAAAGAAGUUUCCUCCACAAAUCAAAAUGGCGAAUAUGAUAUACGCCACCCAUAUUCCCAAGCGGGAGUGGAGGCGCGCACUUAGGGACGUCUACGCGAUGGAGCCAGUCGCCCCAAAAUACAACCCAUGGUCGUCCUGCUUGAUCACCUUUGGUCGCAAGGAUCAUCCGACCAGUAUCCGUCACGGCUGUUCAGCCGCACUGGUCCUUGACCCAAUCAUUGACGGAUUCCACCUCACUCGAGUCCUUAUGGAUGGCGGUAGUAGCCUGAACCUGCUUUAUCAGGACACAGUGUGCAAGAUGGGUAUCGAUCCUUCAAGGAUCAAACCCACCAAAACCCCUUCAAAGGUGUCAUACCAGGUGUUGAGGCAUGCUGUACAGGCUCAAUCACUCUGGAAGUGGUCUUCGGAUCCCCGGACAAUUUCUGAAAUGAAGAGUUAAUCUUUGAUAUCAUCCCCUUUCGCAGCGGCUAUCACGCACUGCUCGGACGAACCACAUUCGCUCGAUUCAAUGCGGUGCCACACUAUGCCUAUCUCAAGCUUAAGAUGCCUGUUCCACGUGGCAUCAUAACAGUCAAUGGAAACACGGAAUGCUCCCUCCGUACCGAGGAGCACACCUCCACCCUGGCAGCAGAAGCACAGAGCGGCCUCUUUCAAUCGAACCUCAAUUCGAUGGCUAGGCUCCCAGACACUGUCAAAAGAGUCUGAACUACCCUGCAGCAGGAUAGCCCAGCUCGUCAAGAGCUCAACUAGCCACUUGACCCCUGUCCCAACCUCGACCAAACGGUGGCCAUCGUCGCGCGCGUACUUAACUACAUACCAAAGUCACCAUGGCGAUAGAAGGAGGCACAUAUAGGCUGUGUUCCACAAUGCGGCUCAACCGCUUCAGGACACACACAUACACACAUUAUUUUACAUGUUUCUUUUUCAGGUUAACUUUUGUUUUGGCCAUCAUUGGCCACCAGACCCAUGAAGGAACGGACAUACCAAGGAGGGAAGCAGCUCGAACGCGCAAGGGAAUCACUAGAUAUUCUCCUCGACGACCAUCUUAUCGUUCUCCGGAUCCGCACGCAGCUCCCCCUGGCCUCAGCAGGUUCCGAAGUCAUAAUUUUUAUCGCACUACUUGUACUUAUAUGCUUUGACGUAUUAUUCAAUUACAAUGAAAACAAUCUGCGACUCUAUAUGAUGUUCACCUGCUGUUAUUCUUUAUUGAUACAUUUUUGUCAAUUCGCAACCAUACAUCCUGGUACGCCUCAAUUUGCCAGGGGCUUCAUCGUAUCCCAUAACAUGGCAGGAAAGUCCGAACACCCUCGCGGUUGUUCGGCACCCCGAACUUAUAGCAUUAUAUGCAUCGGCUCCAAAUCAUGUCUUGGGUCAAUAGUUGGGUUGCCCAGCUCCUGUGCUUGCUACCCUACGUUCCACUAUAUCGGCUAGGGUAGUAAAGGGAGAACUACUGCAAUUGUGUCUAGGUUCUUCCGGACGAGCACCUCAGUAGAGAAAGCCGAAAACUGACUAUCAUGAUGCGGAGAGAGCCGGUCAGCUGUUCGAGAGGUCACAAAAUCUUUAGCGAUUUAUUCCGCAUUAUGCGAUAACCAAUGCAUCAUGCGAUGGAUCGGUUCUUAUCCGAUCAGGUGUUUAUAAAAACCCAAGUUCGGUCUUCCGAACACUAGGGGCUGCGCCUACCUUUCUUUUGUCAAACUCCUAUGGCUAAGUGAGGGUGAUAAAGCCUUAUAGUCCGAUUGCCUAGUUGGUCGCGCUAAACACCUCCUUCAAGGACCCAAAACUGGGGUAAAGAGUGUUUAGAUUUAUCCCGAACACCCCCGUACUUCCUACGUGGGGGCAGAAGCCGACGACUGGCCAACUCUCAGAAUUAAUAUAAAAAUGGCCGCACAGGAGGUAUUUUUUUAAACAACAAGCAUUAUAUUACAUAACGACCUUGUUCCAUAUUAUAGCAAAGGAUAAUAUGAAUGUAUUCAUGAUAAUAUAAUAUCCUUGGCACAUUGCUCCGCCACAAGGCGAGAUCCCUCCAAGACACUAUCAUAGUACAUCUCGGGCUUGCGGGGCUCCUUCCCUGUGUGCGGUCCUUCGGUCAUCAGCUUUACAGCAUCCAUCUUUGCCCAGUGCACCUUGGCGCAGGCAAAAGACAUUCACGCAUCUUCAAUAUAGACCGACCGCUUGAUGGCGUCAAGCCGAGGGCAGGAACUAACCAGCCGCUUCACGAGCCCGAAGUAGCUGCUGGGAAUCGCCUCGGCAGGCCAUAGCCGGAUAAUCAAAUCCUUCAUGGCUAGUUCGGACACCUUAUGCAGCUCGACCAGCCGUUUCACAUUAUCGAUAAAGGGCACUAGAUGUUCUGGCGCAAGAUAUUGCGACCAGAACAGCUUCUCCGUAGAGCUCCCUUCUUCGUCUCAGUAGAAUUGUGCGGCAUCUCAUACGCUGCGCGACAGAUCCGCAAACGCCCCUGGAGAACUCUGAAUUCGGGUUAGUAACAGGAAUCUUUCCUUCACAUACUUGCUUUGCAUAGAAAAAGCCUUACCCGCCGCGGUCUUUCUAGCCUCCUGGAUUUCCUAGAGGGCGCCUUGGGCUUCACCCCGGGCAUCGUUUGCGGCUUGACAAGCCUUUGUGAGUUCGGAUUCUUUAUCCGCCAAACUCUGCUCCAAGGUCUCCCACCUCUUCACGACCUCUUGGAGCUCCUGUUGAACUUCAAUGACCCUGUCCUCGUGUUUUUUACGAGUGGCCUGCUCCUUGGCUGCCUUCUUCUCGGCCUCAGCUACCGCCUUCUUCAGAGCCUCGACUUCGAUCGUCGCUCCUGAUACACAUCAUGACAUUUUUUUCCGUUACAUUUAAUCAUUCAUUCGUACUGAAUACAAACAAGGUUUUGCAUACCUUGGUUAUCCUCCAACUGCUUCUUCACUUGGCCGAGCUCUUUUUCGGCCCGCUCCAGACACUGCUUCAGUCCGGAGGCAUCCACAGUAUGACAUGUGGCAGUCAAUAAAGAUGCCUGCUUAUUCAAAAAAGGUAUUGCAUGGUAAGUCUCCUGCGAAAUAUAUUUGAUCCUCUGUCCGGCUUUUCUUUUCGAACACCGAACAGUAUAUCAGGGGCUACUAUCUAUACUACGACACUCUUUAAACCUCACCACUUAACUCAAAGCCUGUUAGAAGGCUGGUGCAGGCUUCAGUCAACCCGCUUUUAGCAGGCUGAAUCUUCUCAAUCACCGCACCCAUAAGGGCACGGUGUUCUUCAAUGAUGGAAGCGUUCUUCAGCGCUACCGAUAAGGUAUCCGGCACCUCUGGCUGGACAGAGGUUGUCAGUGGAAUAAGCGCACCCCCUUCUGUUGAAGGAGGUUGCCUGCGUGAAUCCGGAGUCGUGUUGGUCUCCGGAAUUGUGUCCGGCUUGGGGCCGAAUUCAAGAUGACCCUUGCCGUCAGUAUCCAUGGGGGUCUGCUCCCCCAUGCGUCAGGUUGCCGAGGUUUGACCCUUUGGCGCCACCUUGACGGUCUCCCGAGCUCCUCCUUGGCCUCGGCCCCUUUGGGACGACACCUCGGUGUUGUUCGCGUGUUUGGGGGAGGAGGCCGUCGGGAGAGUUCCGUUGUCCAUCGCGUCCGAGCCCAGUGAAUUCUCUGAUGAAGAUUGCUCGACGUGGGACCUGGCCGGACUGCAAAAUGCAUGACUCAAUACAUUAAUGCUAUGCAACAGUGAGACUGGAUAUACGAAUGUGUCCGGGUUUCUAUGUACUCACGAUUUGGCCAGGGGCUUGACCCUGGGAUCCCACUCUGGGCUGCUAUCGGUGGCGGUGGUGAAUUCGUCUGGAAGGGAGGCUUUCCCCUUCUUAGAUGAUUUGGCCUCCAAACGUGUGGAGGCCGUCCUCUUCUUUCUCCCCCUCGCUGGGGGGGGGGUGGGAUUGGCUUUCCUUUUCUUCCUCCUCCCCUUCCUCGUCCUCUUCGGAGGAGGAGCGGGCCUCAGAGUCUUCAGACACCAUGUCCGAAGUUGCAACGAAGGCUGCCCCUGGUCUCUUUGGCCUCCUUCUUCAGCGCCUUGUAAGGCGCCGGGACCAGCAUCUUCAUCAGAAGUGGGCUGGAUUGUUCUUCUGGCAGCGGGGCCGGACAGUAGAUCGGUUCUACCUUCUUCGUCCAGCCCUGGGAGAAUUGUUGGGAAAUAUAUUAGGAGUUUCCCUCAGAGUACGCAAAUAAAGCGCACACCUUGCCAACAUACGAAAACUUACCGAACUUGCGGGACGGGACAAUUUGUACCUGCGGUCCUCGGCCGAGUCCGGCCAUGACUUGCCGAGCUUAAAGAGCACCUUCUAGAUGUCUUCGCGCAUUGUGCCGAAGAACUCCAGCAGGGUCUGGUGCUUGGCCGGGUCGAGUUCCCAUAAACUGCAAGUCUUGCGUUGGCAUGGGAGAAUCCGGCGAACUAACAUCACCUAGACUACGUCAACAAGUUUGAUGUUCUUGUCUCCCAUGCUGUUGACACGCGCCUAGAGCAUCGUCAGUUCAUCUGACGAAGACCAGUCCAGGCCCUUCUCGGGUCAGGACGUAAGCCGCAAUGGGGAUCCAGAUCUGAAUUCAGGAGCUGCGGCCCAUUUGGUGCCGCGUGGCUCAGUGACAUAGAACCACUGUGUUGCCACCCUUUGACGGACUCAUUGAAAGUACCUGAUGGCCAUUUGACGUUGAGCAUCUUGCUCACCAUGGCGCCUAUGCACUCGGUGUGCUCGCCGCCUACCACCUUCGGCUUCACGUUGAAAAUCUUUAGCCACAGUCCGAAGUGUGGAGGGAUGUGGAGGAAGGCCUCGCACACGAUGAUGAAUGUCGAGAUGUUGAGGAAAGAAUUGGGGGAUAGAUCAUGGAAAUCGAUCCCGUAGUAAUACAUAAGGCCGCGAAAAAAUGGGUGGAGGGGAAACCCCAGCCCGCGGACGAAGUGAGGGAGGAAUACAACCCUCUCAUGGGGUUCCGGAGUAGGUACGACCUGUCCCGCCGUCGGAAGACGAUGCACGAUCUUCUUGGCCAGGUACUCGACCUCCCGAAGUUUCAUUAUAUCCUUCUCGUGGACAGUGGAGGCCAUCCACUUGCCUCCAGCUCCAGAUCUGGACAUUUUAGAAAUGCUUUUGUGGGUGGAGAAGGCGAAUACUUGGGUGCUAGAGCUUGAGGGAGAGAAUAAGCAGAGGAAGGAGAAGGCGUGGGUGAAAGAGGGGAAUCCUUAUCCCUUUAUAAAGGCAGCAGAAAUCAUGCGCCUCCCCACUCGCCCUAAAACUCGCUUAUUCCCCAAGCGCCGUGCUAAUGGCACAGUUGGGUUACCCAUACCCGUAUUGAUGAGAAUCCCGUGAUAAGGGGACACGAUCUCUGCUUCGACAAGACAUGCCAAUAAAACCGCCUCACGAAACAUGGGGUAGCAGGCCGGAAAAGCGGUUCGAAUAAUGACCGGGCCGCGGCGUGAUGUCACACAAUGAAGAAGUUGUCAGCAGAUUAGACUCGUGGAGUAUUGUACUCUCUACGGUGGUAUGUGGAAUUUUUUUUGCAGAGCCGGACACGAUUCUUGUGUUCAAGAUCUACUGUGGAGUAUUCAGAGAAGGAACCCGCCUUGUAAUUCCGAAGACAAUCUGCGCGCCGGACUCAUCAUCAUUGAAGCUUGGUUUAGGGGCUAGUGAGGGAGUCCUAGAUUAAGGGGUCCUCGGACAGCCGGACUAUAUACAUUGGCCGGACUAUUGGGCUAUGAAGACACAAGAUAAGAAGACUUCGUCCUGUGUCCGGGUGGGACUCUCCUUUGCGUGGAAGGCAAGCUUGGAGAUUCGGAUAUGUAGAUUCCCUUCUCGGUAACCGACUCUGUGUAACCCUAGCCCCCUCCGGUAUCUAUAUAAACCAGAGGGUUUAGUCUGUAGGACAAGAACAAUAAUCAUAAUCAUAGGCUAGCUUCUAGGGUUAGCCUCUAUGAUCUCGUGGUAGACCAACUCUUGUAAUACUCAUAUCAUCAAGAUCAAUCAAGUAGGAAGUAGGGUAUUACCUCCAUAGAGAGGGCCCAAACCUGGGUAAACAUCGUGUCCCCUGCCUCCUGUUACCAUUAGCCUUAGACGCACAGUUCGGGACCCCCUACCCGAGAUCCGCCAGUUUUGGCACCGAUAGCUGGGGAGGGCCGUAUUUAUAGGCGAGCGAGGAGGGGGGAUCGGGCUCUGCCGAACUUCUCUAGAAGUGGCGCCCGACGACGAACGGCAUCAGUGAGAGGGGUAGAAGGCGACGCAUCUCAUGCAGCCAUUAUGGGAGGACGGAGAUGAGCAUGGGUUCACUAUACGCUUGGCCGCGUCAUGCACGUGCCCACUGCGGCGAGCUCCGGCGUUGGCGAGCACUAGGGGAGAUUUAAUGGCAUCGAGGCGGCGAUUGUGGUGAAGUUUGGAAGGUGCGGCGGGCUGGGAAGAGAGCACGAGCUCAACAGAGGCUCGGGCGCGACGCAGAGCGCGUCAUCGGCAUGCCAUCAUGCUUGGACGAACGCGGUCACUCCGUGAACUCUGGCAUCACGCCGCGCCUUGCAUUAAUUUCAUGUCUGGCGUGUAGUUCUUGGUGGUUUGAGAUGUUCCAAAGCUUUGAGUUGAUCACAGGUGCUCUGUGUGCGUGGGUUUCUUCCUAUUAAGUUUCUGGACAGUAACUUGUGAGGUUUACUAGGAGAGAUCCAGGAAGAGUUUAGGGCUGAGCUUUGGGGUUUAGAGGUUACUUAGGAGGGGUAAUGAAGCUCAAGAAAAAUCAGCCUCAUUGGAUCAAGGAAAAAUAUACUUGUUGUGUAAAGUGCCUUUUUUGUCUAGAACAAGAAUGAUUUUCUGUAGCCAAAAUAUUCCAAAAAGUGAUGCAAUAUUAUUGCUCAGGGAGGUGCCCUAGGGUUCAAAGAAUAUUUGGGAAUUUUCUCAAGAUUUUAGGAGCAAUAAAAAAGAGGGCUGCUUUGGAGCGCAAGUUUCUGAAGUGAAGUUCAGAUAAGAAAAUGAAUAUUUUUCUUUUAUGAAAAAUAUCCCUAGGGUCAUUUUGAGAAGAAAAUGAAUAUUUUUCUUUUAUGAAUAUUUUUCAAAUGACAACACAUGUCUAUGGCUAGGAAACUUAACCAUCUUUGAUUAAGGAGCUAGUCAAGUAGAGGCAUAAUUGGGACACGGUAUUUUGUCUAUGUAUCCACACAUGUAUCAAGUUUCUGGUUAAUAGAAUUCUAGCAUGAUUAGUAAAUAUUUAUCAUGAAAUAAGGAAAUAUAAAAUAACAACUUUAUUAUUGCCUCUAGGGCAUAUUUCCUUCAGUCUCCCACUUGCACUAGAGUCAAUAAUCUAGUUCACAUUGCCAUGUGAUUUACCACCAAUAGAUCACAUCUUUAUGUGAUUAUCACCCAUAGUUUACAUCGCCAUGUGACCAACACCCAAAGGGUUUACCAGAGUCAAUAAUCUAGUUCACAUUGCUAUGUGAUUAACACCCAAAGAGUACUAAGGUGUGAUCAUGUUUUGCUUGUGAGAGAAGUUUUGUCAACGGGUCUGCAACAUUCAGACCCGUAUGUAUUUUGCAAAUUUCUAUGUCUACAAUGCUCUGCUUGGAGCUACUCUAGCUAAUUGCUCCCAUGUUCAAUACAUAUCUACAUUGAGACUUAGAGUCAUCUAGAUCAGUGUCAAAGCUUGCAUCAAUGUAACUCUUUACGACGAAUUCUUUAUCACCACCAUAACCGAGAAACAUUUCCCUAGUCCUCUUAGGUAACUAAGGAUAAUUUUGACCGCUGUCCAGUGAUCAACUCCUGGAUCACUAUUGUACCCCCUUGCCAAACUCAUGGCAAGGCACAUAACAGAUCUGGUACACAACAUGGCAUGCUUUAUAGAACCUAUGGUUGAGGCCUAGGGAAUGACUUUCAUUAUCUCUCUAUCUUCUGUCGUGGUCGGCCUUUGAGUCUUACUCAACUUCACACUUUACAAUACAUGCUAGAACUCCUUCUUUGACUGAUCCUUUUUGAACUCCUUCAAAAUCUUCUCAAGGUGUGUGCUUUGUGAAAGUCAUACUAAGCGUCUUGAUCUAUCUUUGUAGAUCUUGAUGCCCAAUACAUAAGUAGCUUUACCGAGGUCUUUUAUUGAGAAACUUUUAUUCAAGUAUCCUUUUAUGCUAUACAAAAAUUCUACAUCAUUUCCAAUCAACAAUAUGACAUUCACAUAUAAUAUUAGAAAUGCUACAAAGCUCCCACUCACUUUCUUGUAAAUACAGGCUUCUCCAAAAGUCUGUAUAAAACCAUAUGCUUUGAUCACCUCAUCAAAGAGUAUAUUCCGACUCUGAGAUGCUUGCACCAGUCCAUAGAUGGAUCGCUGGAGCUUGGACACUUUGUUAG